UUGGGCCGAGGGAGGUAUCACUUUCGGCCCGGGAAGACGUACGGCGAGAGAGUCAUGGGGGCGUUCAACUCAUGGGCUUCUAGGCCUAGAUCGGUUAAAUCAGAGUGCAAGUCGAGUCCUAAUACAAUAGGGACCCUCGACGAGAUCAGUAAAACUAGAAGGCGAAUCCGGCUCAGUUAAGGACUAGAUUCGUAGUCCUAGCAGAGAUAGGACUGAUUGAGGUAACGUUAAUCCGGAGAAGGAAACCUAGUUCGAAUAGGAUUAGAACUCGGGCUCGGUGUUCUGCUACUAUAAAUACAAGACAUUCAGCAAUGGAAAAAGCCCACAAAAAUCAAUACAAAAUUGCCCUGCGCAAACUCUCACAACUUGAGAUCUUUUUCUUUUCCUUUUUCGCUGACACAUCUUCCGUUGGCAUCAACAACACUGUGGAAGCAACCGGUGAUAUCUUAAGUCGGCAUAGAUAGCUCUGUCACCGUAGAGUCGGUCGGUCUCGCAGUAUCUUCCGUUGGCAUCAACAGCACUGCGGCGAGAGAACGGUCGAUUGCCUAUUCAAGUCUCGGUCGAGAAGGGUUUUCGAAUCCUUGUUGGUCGAGGUCAUCUCAUUAGCCUUCUCGGCGAGGUGAGGUGUUACAGUUAUUACAUUCGGCACAUUGUAAGCCGAAUUCGGUUCGUGAACUUUGUAAGAAAUAGCAGCCUUGUCUUCAGGCUCGAGAACCCAAGAGGCCGAGACGCGUUCCUUUCUCGGCCGCAAUCGCAAGACGCAGAAGUCAGUAGCGCGACCCAACGCAGCAUCAUCAAAUUUACUCCUCGGCCGAGCCUCGGCCGACGAGUUGGCACGCCCCGCAAUCACCGAAGGACGUAGUUAGCUUAGAAUAUAUUCGGCCUGCGCGCCACGUAGGCUUUGUAAUUUCUAGGGUCAACAGUUUCAUGCUACAUUGAUUUGUUGAAGAAGGUUCUGACUUUGCCGAGGAGUGUUUGGUUUUGCCAACUUCUUCAGGCUCUCCUCCUUUCAAAGGCUUAGGAAUUUCUGCACCGUCCGAUUGCAAAAAGGAGUAAUCCCGGGACUCCUUUAGGUUUUUACACUUUAAUGUUGUGCUAAUAACAAGGCUAUUUGCAGCGGUUUUAGCCUUGUCACCGGAAUUUAGAACCCUAGACGCCAACUGCUUCAACUCCGGCACAAAAUCCUUCAUCUCUUCGUGCACUCUCUUGGCCAUGACACGCUCCGAGGGGCCAAAGAAGGAUCCAAAGUUGUCGAAAGUCAAUUUCUUCUUGUUAUCAUCAGUAGUACUAUUAACCGAGCAGCCAUGAGCAACAGCAGAGCCUUCUGAUUUCUUCAUGCGAAUGCGUUCUUUCAGUUGCUGCCUGAGUUGAAGGAAGUCGAAUUGCUCCGCCUCUGCAGGACGCAUAACUAGAGAAGCCAUCUUUCCGAUCCCAAAGUUGUAGAAUUCUAACUUGGAAACCCUAACUUGCUUUCUAAGCAACUCCUACUUGAAAAAGUGAUCGAAUGCGGAAAGAGAUGGGAAUUGUAGCUUGUAACGUAAUGAAUGGAAGGGAAAAGUCUGUAUUUAUAAUUGAGGAUUAGGAUUGGAUGUGCUUUCAUUUUACGGCGGUCUAGGAAUUUCCUAAUCCCAAUAGGAAAAUGGGAGUGGAUUUUCCUAAAAGGAAUAGGAGAACGUAAAAUAAUCAUUGAAUCAAAUGGAUAUAAACAAACUACACCCAGGUCUUUUUAUGACGUUUUUCUAUUUAAACACCACAACCGCAAGUGAUUUGUAGCUCACUAGAUUAAAAACAUUUGUCUUUGAACCCGAGUUUUUCUAUUUGAAUCACCUUUUUUAUGGUUUGAAUGAGUUUAAUGUAGAUUAUUCUAUCGUCUGUUAAAAGAAAAAAUUAAACACCACCACCUUUCUUUUUUGAGUUCACUCCAAUUUCAAUCUACACCUCAUUAAAAUUUUGAAUUUUAAAUUUUUCCAAAAACAACACACUUUUCACUAAAUUACCCUGAAAUACGAACACACCACUCCCACCAACAAAAAAAAAAGAAAAAUGACAAGACUGCUCCACACCCACAACACCAGCGUGUUCAUGGUGGCACUAGGUCUUGAUCACAACCAAAGAAUAUGAGAUUUUUAAGGAUGAAUCUCAUUUUGAGGUCCUUAUGUAGUAGCCUCCUUUGCUUGCUUGGAGUUUCGGACGUUGGUGUUUGGGAUUUUCAAAGAUCACAAAUCCUAUUAAACUAGAAUGUUCCUUCCAAAUUGAUUUGUCAAUCAAUCCACUCAAAGACAUUAAGGGGCCGUUUGAUAAUCAUCAUUCAAGAGAGUAGAAUCUUAAGACUACACACUCAAGAGUUGAGACAGGAUCGUCUCUAAGAUUUUGGGGCCUUGUGCCAACUUUUCAUGUUCCUUUUAGUCUUUUAUCGUUAUAGUCUUUAUUUAUCUUCUCUUUUUGGCUUUGGCCCUUGAUUUGGUGCCCUCGUCUGAGUUUUUGUCUCAAUUUUAUGAGUUUGUCUCAAUCUGGGCUUUCAUGUCUCUUUCUUACUCAGUUGUCAUUUCAUGUCAGUGAUGUCACAAGUCUUCCACAAUCAACCUCUGCUACUUAACCUAUCGGAGGCCUCUCUUCAGUAGCGCACUUUGGUGUUGUGUGUUGUUUAAGUGUUUUUAGGACUGUUUGGUAGGAUUAUGGGAGCACUCAAUGUGCAGGUGGCUUGCUCACCCCCAUAUUCCGUUGGUGCAAUUGUUUUGUUGGUUUGUUCUCUUGGUUGUGGCGGCCUUGCGAUCGUGGCACAACUGACUUGUUAGACGCUGCUAUUUCCUCUCCAAAUUUAGAGCAUCUCCAGUUAAGUCCCUAUAUAGGGACAAGCACCAUAUAAAAUGAGUAUAAAAUAAAUAUAAGGACAAAAUGAAUCUCCAAUAGAUCGGAAAGUGAGUCCCUAAAGUAUAGGAACUCGCUAGAUACUUGGUGUAUGUACCCAUAUAUAGGGACUAAAAUGGUGGACCUAAUAGGACAAUUUAAGUGGAAAAACAGGCGUGGGUCCCAGUCACAUAGCCUUGUCUUUUUUUUUCUUUUCUUUUUAACCAUUUAAAAUGGAAGGUCCAAAUUGAUUCUUGCUUUUCAAAUUUGUUUACCAUUGAAAGAUCAAUAGUUCCAAUUAAAAACCCGUUUCAAUUUAGGUUACUCUGUCAUGUUGGUUUUCAAAUUCUUUUGUUUUCUCUUUUCAUAAUGCUUCCGUUGAAAUAUUAAUAUUUUCAAUUUGGAUUACUCUUUCAUUUUGUUCUCUCAUCAUUCCUAUAAAUACCAAAUCAUCUAACCAAAACUUACCACAACUUUAUCUCAUAUACUCAGUUCAUUCGUACUCAAUUCACUUACUCUAGUUACGUUUUUGUGAUGAAACAAUUUAGUGUCAGAAUUUGAAUUUUUUUUUGGUUAAAAUAUUCACAAAAAUAUUUUACGAGAACUUAAUGUUAACAUAAACAAAAAUGUGCACCUAAUCAAAUUAUCACAUAAAAUUGUAAAAACCUCAAAUUUAGGGAUUCUACUAUAAGGACUCUCCCAUUGGAGGUAAUAUUCCUUUAGGGACACAAAGAUUCUCUUUAAAUCUUUAAAUGAGUACUCAAAGGUGGUGGUAGGAGUCCCUAAGACCAUCUCCAACCCUUGGGCUAAAAGCCAAAUUUUUUAGCCCGGAAAAUUUAGUUUUUAGCCUAGAAAUAAUUUUUCUGUUCUAACCCUUCUGACUUAAAAUUUUAGUCUGGGAUUAUUAAAGAAUGAACUUAGGCUAAUUUUUUUCUUAAAUUUUCUUUAAAAAAAAAAUUAUGUAGACUAUCGUAAAUUAAUUUUAUAAACAUUUUAAUCUAAAAAUAUUUAAAUUCCGAUAAAUAUUGAAAAAUCACUAAAUCGAUACAUGAAACUCAUGAAACACUAUGGAAGAAUAUGAACAUCAUGAUAUAGAUGUAUAAACACAAAAUACAUAAAACACACAAGACACACAGAACACAUGUAAAACACAUACAAAACACAUGUGAAGGACAUACAAAACACAUGAUAGAGAUGAAGCACACACAGAACACAUGUGAAACAAAUGACACACACGAAACACAUACAAAAUACAUACAAAACACAUGAUAUGAUGAAGCACACACAACACACAUGUGAAACACAUGACACACACAAAACACGUACAAAAUACAUACAAAACACAUGAAACGCAUGAAACAUAAACCUACACACAUGAAACUGAAACCUUCAAUCAUCCUUUAUAUAAACACAGGUUGAAUAUCAGUUGAUCACACAAUCUUUCAACCUUCAAUCAUCCUCUAUAUUCACCAAUCUUUCAACUUUCAAAGAGUUUUUGUUCCUAAAAAUCCUCAAUAUCUCAUCAGUGGGUGAUAGAAGAAGGCGUAGCAGGGCAAUGCAGAUGGCACAAUACCAAGCAAGCCUUGACAUUGAGGAUUCAUAAAUGAUCAACGCAGAAGCUGAACUUGCAAACUCGCUUAUGCAAUAUGAGUACCAUGCUGAAUCUAGCUAUCGUGAUUUUGUCACGGGGCGUUCAUUUGUGCAGCGUGAUAGAGAAGAGUGUCAUGACUGAAUGACGAAAGAUUAUUUCAUCGAGUGUUCGAGAUUUCUUGCUCAUGAUAUUCGGAGGCGGUUUCGGAUGAGGAGAGAGCUUUUUGAAAGCAUCUUGAAUGCAGUGGUCAAUCAUGACCACUACUUUGCAAGGAAGAUAGAUGUCGUAGGCCGACAAAGUCUAUCACCUCAGCAGAUGCUCACAUCUACAUUUCGGAUGCUAGCUAAUGGGUGCUUUGCGAAGAGUGCAAAGCUAACCUCUUCCUCUCCCACGGUUUGAACAAAUAUAUAGGUAUUUAUAGAAUUUUUUGGUGAAUUUUGAGUUAAAUAAUUUUUUAAUUAUUUUAGCCGUUGGAUUUAAAUUUGGGCCGUUAGAUCUUUUUUUUUACCGUUAAAUUUGAUUAUAUUCGAUCUCAGCCGUUGGAUUCAAUGUAUUUUAAAAUAACAUUUAAAAAAAAAAUUUAAUCUGGACCGUUGGAUCAACCAACAGUCCAAAAAUGUCAACCGUCGGAAGAACAAAAGAGUCAUUGGGCUCAUGAUUGUGGCCGACAGGGCCCUGACAGUGGGUCCCACCCUGUCGAGCGCUGAAGGCUUCAGCCCGAGUGGGGCAAGUUGAACAUGUGACGGGGCCAAGAUUGGGCUGGGCUUGGGUGAGUCCACGCGCAUGUGGGCUAAAUCUUGGGGGGAAUUUGGCUUGAGUUUAGCUUUAGCAUUUAGCCCAAAUAUUUGGCUUGGAUUGGGUUGGGUUUUUUUUGGGGGGGGGGGGGUUGGGGGGGGGGGGGGGGGGGGCGGGGGAGGGGAAUAAAUGGGGUAAUUUGACCUUCAGCCUUCAGCCUAAGGUUGGGUUUGGUCUAAAUAGGGACCCCUAUUGGAGAUGCUCUUAAGUUUUUUUGUAAUUAUGAGUUGACUUUUUUUUUGAGUUUUUUACUGUAUUUUCUUUCUUGCAAUUGGGUUUGUAUUUAAGUUGUGGGCUGUUUUGAGCUCUAUUUUUCUUGUACUAGUCUUUUUAUUUAAUAUAAAUAACUUGGUUUGACAAAAAAAAAAAAUUGAACCAGGUGGCUAAGGAAUUUGAGCUAUUAUUUUCGGUAUUUGUUUAAACCAAACUCCAAAUUAUUCGUAAAAGGAUGAAAAGUUAAAAAUAAAUAAUCGAGCAAGUCACGAUGAUCGAAUCCGUGGCCGUUUCCAUUAUAUAACAAGUAAGCAAAACUAGCUCUGCAAGUAGGAUAUUUUGAUAAGAGUUUUUAUAGUCGGAUAAGGUUAGGGAGAUCAAAUUUUUGAACUCAAUGAUAUAUCAUUAAUACGAAAUAAACACGUUAAUCAUUACUGAAGUAAUAAUUUAGUCAUCAACAUUCACAUCAUUUAGUUUGUAAAAUUUAGUUUAAAAAUUUGAUCUCCCUAACAUUAUCCGCUAGACAUCCACCAACAUGAAUGCGGGCCUCCUCGCUCUCACUAAAGCAUUCAAAGUAGAUCAUUAUUGCCAUUGAGGAUUUGUUUCAUCUCUCAUUUUCACUCAGUUAGUGAUAUAAAGGUUGAUGUUGGAUAAAGUUCUAGACCCACAGCACGAUAUCAACAAGAAAACAGAAAAAAAUAAAUAAAUUAGGCAACAAGAGAAUAAAAAAAUUAAAGAACCCCCAAUUUUUAAUUUCAAAUUAAAGAACUCAGAGAAGGCGGGAGAGAGCCGGAAGUGGACGGCGGAGCUUGUAGGAAUCACAGCUGAUGGUCAGAAAUGAAUCGUGGGUUUCUUUACUUUUUUUUUUCUUUUUUUUUUAACAAAUAAUAAUAUCUACACUACGGGAAGGGGGUGGACUUAGUUUCACAAUGGGCUAAUAAUAAUGUGGUUCAAAUUCGCCUUUGAUGAGAAUCGAACCUAACCUCUUACUUACAAGUAAAGAAGAAUACCAUUAGAUCAUAAUAUUAAGUAACUACUUUUGUUUCUCUUGGUUUCUUAGUUUUUGAUAGGGGUAAAAUUGGAUUUUAAAAGAAAAAAAAUGGGGUGAACUUAGAUGAAUAGUGGGGUGUAAAUAGAAAUAUAACCUCAUUUUAAUAGAAACUUAUAAUUUUUUGGUGCCACUUACCAUUCGGGGUCCCGGCGGUCGUCUUGCUAACCUGAAUUAGAGUCGGCUUUGAUCGUGUUUAAAUAGAAAAAUUAAUUUUCUUUUGGGAAAUAUACAAUCAACACAAUUAAGUUAACAGAAUUGCUAAAGUUAUUCAAGAAAACGUGCUAAAGUUAGUCCACGUCAUUAAGUCAAAUCCUUUCCCAACAUGGAUCUUUAACAAACUUUUAAGAAUUCAAUUCAUGUAUACCAAAACUUUACAUAAAGGGAGGGAUGCACGAGUAUCAUGUGUGAAAGCGAAGUGAUUCAAAACGAGAUGUAAUCAAAUGAUGUUACCAAGACACACAUCAACGAUAAACAUAACAUUGUUGAUUUUCUCUUUGAUAUAGAUAGACGUUAGUCUUUACUAUGGUAAGAGAGAUGCAAUUUUACUAUAAUUGUUCAAUUAGAAACAAUAACCUAAAUGAUAUUUGGUGACACUACAUAAAAAGUGAGCAAUAGCUACCCGUGGUGCAACUAUUACCUACUUUUUGACCUUUUUGUUACGUUCACCACUCUAUCUAAUUAAUAAAGUAACGUUACAUUCACCACAUUUUAUAUAUCACAUCUCUACUCUAAUAAAGUUAUGACCCACUAGUAUGAAUACAUCUCACCUAUAUUAGACGUUAGGAAUGUAGUACAAAUGUGUACAAAAUGAAAGAAUAUAAUGCACCGUCACAACUCAACUCUGUUGAAUGAACAAAAAUAAUCACUUUCACAACUCAACGCCGAAUUUAUUGUUGUGGAUUCACUCGCCGAUGUUACAAUCAAACUUCCAUCAGAACAAACUGGGAAAAUUAUAAUUUUGUGCUUCAAAUGUGUGAAGAGAAUGAAUAAUAUUCAUUUUGGACCAAAAAUAAAAGAAAUUAAAAUUUUCAAAAGAAAUAUCUGAAUUCCAUUGGAUUAUAUUUUUUUAAUAAAAGUUUGUAUUGUGGAGACUGAUACAACAGUGGUACAAAUUUCGAAAUUUUACCUUGAACAACUCCAAUUUAACACGCUGAUAUUCUAUUGGUAGCCUUUUUACCUUUAACACCUCCAGUUUAACAUCAAAAUUAAGAUUGACUAUGCUUGGAGAAGACUAUGUAGGAGGAUUACUGAUCAGGUGAACUACUUCCCUCAUCGUAGGUCUUGCAGAGCUGUCGUUGUCGACACACAGCAUUGCCAGUUUGAACAAAUGUAUGACAGCCGCCAAGGGGUAUCCGGCGAGAUUUGGAUCCACCACUGCUAGAACCGAUGAUGAACUGGACAACGACUUGGUAGUUUUCCUCACCCAACCCACUAAGCUUAUAGCGUCUUCAUAGUUCAUCACUGCUUUCCUCCCUGUUAUUAGCUCCAGCAAAACCACACCAAAACUGUACACGUCUAUUUUCUCAUCCACUUUUAGUGUAUAACCGUACUCUGUAAGUUUGCACCAUCAUAUAAAAUAAAAUAAAUUAUUGAUAGAUGCUUGACUAACAAGAAACUUUUUUAUAUUUGACGUGUUUUGGUGAAGGUACGGAGCUUUUGAUAACCAUUUCAUUUACAUUUUUAUUAUUUUUUAUUUUUAUACAAAUGAAAUCUGAUUUCAAAAUCAAGUCAGAAGGUAAAAACUCACAAAAACAUAUUUUAGAUUUUGGUCUUAAGUUUUCAUUUUUCAUAUUUUUUUAUUUGAAAAUUAAAAACCGUUAUCAAACAAGUUUUAAUUUUCGAUUUUUCUAUAAUGAAAGAAAAAAAAACCCUAUAAACUGAAAAUUAAAAUAAUUAUCAAAUAAUUCUUUAAUUAAUUAACCGAAGAUGAAAUAGAUUACGGACCUGGGGCGAUGUAACCGAAGGAACCAGCAACUGAAGACAUGCAAUCAGCUGCAACUCCAUGGAAGUACUUGGCGAGCCCAAAAUCAGCAACAUGAGCCUCAAAGUUUGAAUCCAACAAGAUGUUAUGGGACUUGACAUCUCUGUGUAUAAUCAGGGGUGAACAGUCAUGGUGCAGAUAACACAAUCCCUUUGCAGCCUCCACUGCAAUUUUAUACCUCCUCUCCCACUGAAACUCCCCUCCAUUUUCCCCAUGCAAUAUUUUUCCCAAGCUACCAUUAGGCAUGUACUCGUACAACAACAAAUUAGAGUCCUUAUUGUUCGACAUGUAUCCCAAAAGCCUCACUAUGUUUCGGUGUUUGAUUCGCCCCAGCGUCUUAAUCUCCGCUGCAAAUCCAUGAUCCAUUUGCCCUCUAUUACUUGAUGAUCCUACUAGCUGUUUGAUUGCUAUGUCAAGGCCGCUUGGCAUGGUUCCCCGGUAGACAAUCCCAGCACCGCCUUUGCCUAUUAUAUUCUCUUGCUUUAUGCACUGUAGCAAGUCCUCGACUUUGAGGUCGAGCUGCUGGAACAAUGUGAGCCUCCAACCACUAGAUUUUUGAAUACUUCUUCCUGUACAAAUCUUUAUCAGUAGGAAUACUAGAAGCACGAUAAGUAGGGAACCGAGAACCGCAGGUAGUCCAGCGAUGAUCAUAAGACCGAGCCUGGAGGAACCAAACACAUUGUGGUCUUGAGAUUUCAUGUUAAUGAAGGAACACGGGCGUGAGACGUUGGUACAGAGAUAGGGGUUCCCACGAAACGACGCGAUGUCCAGAAAAUGAUCACCGGUUGGGAUUCUACCGGUGAAAUUGUUAUAAGAGAGAUCCAAAGUUGUAAGGGUUUCCAUGGCGGGUAUUCCGUCAGGUAUUUGGCCAGUGAGUUGGUUCCGAGACAUAUUCAGAAGAUAAACUAGUUUCAGCUUCUCUAUCCCUCUUGGGAUUUCGCCGACCAAAUUGUUUCGACUCAAAUCAAGGGACCCUAGAGACGAACACUUAGAAACAGAAGCUGGAAUUUCGCCACCGAGCUUGUUGACGCUGAUGUUGAUUUUUGAUAACACUAUCAAGUUAAAGAUUUCGUCUGGUAUUUUCCCAGAAAAUCGGUUCAUCUCCAGCGAGAGAGUUGUUAAGUUGUUGAGGUUUCCAAUUGCGGGUGGGAUCCUCCCCGAAAUCUGAUUCGCAGAAAGCGAGAGGAUUGCGAGUGUGCCCGCUGUCAUUUGUGUUGGAAGUUGACCGGACAGGCAGUUAUCAUUCAUCUCAAUCAUACCCAAGCUGGGCAAGUUGAAGAUCCCAACAGGAAUAGUCCCGCUGAUUCUGUUUUUCAUCAUUCUGAUUUUGACAAGAGACUUGCAUUGGCCGAGCUCCAACGGAAUGGGCCCAAAGAAGUUGUUAUCCAUCAGAAUCAGCGUCCUCAGCCUCCCGCCUAAGCACAGAUUCUGAGGAAUCAACCCGGUCAGGUGGUUGCCGGUGACAUCCAAAUCCGUAAGCCUGCCGUUCUGGCCAAGACUUUCGGGUAGUUCGUAUGUAAAGUUGUUCUCCCACAGCUGAAGAAUCUCCAGAUAAGGAAGAUCGCCGAUGAACUUGGGUAUGGGACCGUAAAGGUCGUUCUUGUACAGAUUUAUUAACCUAAUGCUCUUCAGCUCUGAGAAACUUUCGGGUAUUUUUCCAGUGAGUUCGUUUAUGGAGAGAUCCAAGGUCACGAGGUUCGCCAUGCUCGAAAGCUCCGGUGGUAUAAAACCACUGAGCCGAUUUACUUGUAAAAACAACGAGUGCAAAUUCUUCAAAAGGCUCAGACUUGUGGGAAUCUUGCCAAUGAGGUUACAGCUGCUCAUGUCGAGCACUUUCAGCAACGGCAGCGAUCCAAACUCCGGUGGAAUCCCGCCAUCAUAAUUGUUAUAGUACCCUAGGUACAAUUCCUUGAGGUUCUUUAUCUGUGCCAAGCUGGCGGGGAGCUUUCCGCUGAGCAAAUUUCCGUUGAGGCCUAAGUACUCCAAGCUCCGGAUAUUAGAAUAACUUUCGGGAAUGUUUCCAGUGAAGUAGUUGCCUCCCAGAUGAAGAUGUUUGAGCUUUUUACAGCCGGCGGCGAGCUCCAGCGGCAGCUGUCCCGUGAAGUCGUUAUUGUAGGCGUCAAGGACCUCAAGCUCCGUCAUCCCGAGCGUGAUUUCUCCGGGGAACAUGCCGCUGAAGAAGUUGUUUGAGAUGUUCAAAUGCUUUAACGCCGUCAGGUUGGCCAUCUCCGUGGGAAGCCUCCCCGAGAGGUUGUAUUUGGCGAGGCUGAGGUUCACAAGUUUGUUUAGAAGCCCGAUCUCUGCUGGAAUCGAGCCUCGAUCCCGCACGGGCGGCAUAUUUGAGACGUUAAGAGCAACCACUCGUAAUCGCUGGUCGCAUGAAACUCCAGAAAAGGAGCAGUAGUGCUGGGCGGAGGGCUCCCACCCGGUAAUAUUCAUGGCCUUCUUGAGCUUCAGUAGCGCGUCGAGGUCGUCGGCGCACGGCGAUGAUGGGAACAAAAGGAAUAUGAUGAAGGAAACGUAGGCGGAUAUUAGCGUCUUAAAUUUUUUAUUUUCCAUCGGUGAUCACUGAUCAGUGGCCACUAGCUAGUUCUUUCUUCUUGAUCGUGAAUUCGUGAUUAGUUCAUAGUUUAUGUUAAUUACAUGAUUUGUUUUAUAUAAUAUAGUAGUACUACGUUGACUGGAAAGGUUGUAAGUGGGUGGGUAGGAGUAGGACAAAAAGGAUUAUUUUUAGAAUUUUCAGUGUUUCUGCCACUAAUUUUAAUUUUGAGGUUUUUGAGCUUUAAUCCUUCAAAAAUAUUAAAAUUCAAUAAAAACCUGAUGUUAAAUUGAAUAUUGAUUUUAGUCCCUUAACUGUACUUAAUUUAAAUUUAUAUUAUAUUUUUGUUUUUAUAUUUAAUGUUAUUAAAUUAAAAUUAAAAUUUAUUAUUAUACACAUUUUAAUUCAUUAAUUUUAUUUAACUUUUCCUAAAUAGUGUACCUAAAUGUCUGUAUCAUAAUAUAUUUUACUAAAUUAGUGUACCAAAAUACCCGUACCUAAAUAUAUUAUAGUGAAUCAGCGACACAUAAUAAAAUAUGUAAAAACAUAAGUGUACCAAAAAUUCCAUACCUAACUAUAUGAUACUAAACUAGUGUACUGAAAUAUUAGUACCUAAAUAUAUUAUAUUAAACUAGUGCACCAAAAUAUCCGUACCUAAACAUAUUAUAUUAACCCAGUGUACCGAAAUGUUCGUACCUAAAUAUAUUGUAAUAAAUUAGUGGUAAAUAAGAAAAUAUGCAAAAACAUAAGUGUACUGAAAAAUCUCUACGAAAAUAUUUUCUUAUAUAAGAUGCUUACCAUAAUGAGAAUUAAAAUUUAUAAUAAUUUCAUAAAAUUUAAAUUCAUAAAAUUAUAAAUAAAAAAAGAGACAUUGAAUACAUAUGUUGGCAUUAAAUAGAGUCCAAGGACUAAAAUAGAUUUUUAAUCUUGUAUGAGACAUUUUUCUAAACUUCAUCUUAUUUAGGAAUUAAAAUCUAGUUUUCUAUUUAAUUUUCACACUUAGGUCAAUGUGUAGGUCUAAUUUAUUUCAUGGUGAGAGAGCUUUUGCUUGCGUCUCAUCCCAAUUGCACACUUUAAUAAUUGUACCCAAGUUUUUCAUGAUAGAAUCCUUAUCAAAAUAUUUGAGGCUGCCAAUUUACAUGUUAGAAGAAAGAGGAAAUUGGAGCAUUGAUCAGUUUGGCCGAUUUAUGUUCGGACUUUAGGGCUGCUAAAUAAAACAUUCAAGUUUGUUUAGAUAAACAUCGUACAAAGCGUGCAAUCAUUUGGCCAAUUUAGUUGAUUUUCGUCGUAUGUCAAAUCACGUUGUAUACAUGUCAACGUACGUCAAAGUAGUCCAUGGAGUGUUGUCGGGAGCCCAUAUCGAGUAUUGUUGAGAUUCAUUGUCAAAUUUUACCGAGAUGCGCUGAGCAUACAUUAUAUUAAACAUUGAUGAACACAAAAGAGUCUCACACCAGACAUUCAAAGAGUCCUUAAAGGACUUUCAUAAGCGUGUUUCCAACUUUCAGUGAGUCCCAGGACCACGUAUUGAUAUCACAUUAAUCCAUGCAUAAAAAUCCAUCAAAAUUGGUAUGUGCCUAUCCUUUGUCGCAAGGAUGAUUUUAGGAAGGAUCGGAUUGAAAACCAAGUUUCCAAUUUUCGCUCCCAAAUUUCGGAAUAAGGUCGGAUAGGAACAUAAUUUUUAAAUUUGGAAAUUUUGUAAUUGGAGUAAUCUCAGAAAUUUUGGAACCUAAUUCGGAUUCAUAUAUUUUAUAAGUUUUUGAGUGUUCUCGGCUUUUUUUAUUACAUGUAAUUUAUUUGGUGGCAUACUAGUAUGAUUAUCCAUUUUGAUAUAUAGAAGUAUGUUUAAUAUAAAAACAAUGAACAAACUAUAUCUAAAACUAACACUAAAAUACAAAAGUUGACAAUAAAAUACAUAAUUUUGCGUUCAGGUUAUUAUAAAUGAAUACAGGAGAGCUCCGCUGUCAUUCCCGCAAACACAUGUUUUGAAUCUCAGCAGACGAACGGAGUUGAAAUUGGUGGUUUGAUGAUGCUUUUUUUUUUCAUUUAGAGAUGUGAGAGAUGCCAAAAAAUCGAAGGAAAAAGAAAGAAGCUGAUUUAUUAGUAUGUACAACAAAUUUCAAUCAAAAGCCAACAGAAUUAAUUCGAUCCCAAGACAGAUCAAAACAAGCAAAGAUUGGCUGAUUGAUGGCAUUACGAAUAAAUAAAUAAAUAAAAGAGAAAAAAGAAACCUGAUCAUUCAAUAUCGUCCACAAACUGUGAUUGAUCAUCAAAUCUGAUCAUGAUUUACUAUCUAGUACCUCCUGCAGAAGAUUCAGGCCUUCCGCCGAUAUACUCCUCUUGAAUUUUAACUUUGGGAUCUCAAGCAACGGGGGUGGAUCUGGCGAGAAGCAUACCACUACCACCGUCAGGUUAUCGCACGUAUUGCGCUUGAGUGCCUCCCGAACCAGCUCUCUUGAGCAUCUCUCGGGAUCAUUGUGGAUCAUUAGUUCUUUCCUUGCCAUCGUGACUGCACACUGGCUGCUCAUCACAUCCCACAACCCAUCACAGCCUAGGAUUAAGAAUUCGUCUUCCUCGCUCAGAAUUGUCUCCUCGAGCUCUGGCUCUGCACUCAAGGGACACAAGGAACCUUUGGAGCCUUUCAUGUGCCAGUCCCCAAGAGCUCGUGCCACAGAUAAUUGACCGUUGAGGUAGCCAUCAUACACCAUGCCUCCCAGUUUCUCGAUUCUCACUCUUUCGGAGGCACAAUUGGGUUUAUGGUCUUUGGAAAGCUCAAUUGCCCUACCUCUUCUUCCCAGCACAGCUCGGCAAUCUCCAGCAUUUGCAAUUAGCAUCGUCCUGAAAAGGAGAAAUCAUAUGUAAAUCACAAUGAUGCCACUUGUAAAGACACAACAGGAAGAAAACUCUGGUCAAAUCCUACAAGCCUUCAAUACAUUCUUCUUACAGAAUAACUUGCCAAGUUUACCUGGAUACGACUUAAAUGUUUUAGCCGGACAUCUAUUACACAAUGGAAGCGUUUAAAAAGUGACCCACUUCCUCCAACUAAAACGUUUAUUACCAUGUUACAAGCCUCUAUAUUGAUUCCAGGAGUUGUACAGCCAUGAAAGUAUUCCUGGAUAAAAGCACCAUGGAUGACAACAGAAAGAAGUGUGGUUGGCAAAGAUGAAAUUUUACCCCUGGACUUCGCACAAUAAGAUAGCUCUUAACAUAGAAGGAUCACAAUAGAAUUCAAAUGUUACAUUAACCAAAAUUGCUCAUUAGCAAUUCUUCAAAAAUUUGUUUCCAACAACCCAAAAAAAAAAUCCGGUAUGCUACAAGGAGUCCUUAUGAAAACUAAUAUACAAUCAUAGACAGAACUGAUUAUAUUUUAAUCCGGUAUGCUACAAGGAGUCCUUUGUGCAGGAACUUUAAUCCGGUAUGCUACAAGGAGUCCUUAUGCUACAAGAAUUAUAUAUAAGUUAUAUUUUAUUUAUUAAAAUAUUAUAUAAGAUAAAAUAACUGGUUAUAUUUUAACUUUGGUUUAAAUUUGGGCGGGAAUUUUCCCAGUUUGUUUUGCACGGGGAAAUGGGUUGGACGAGCUCUUGCAGACUGUGUCAGAGUUGGCGUCGGUUUUAACCGACGCAAACUCUCAUUAUUUCGACACAAAGAUUCCUUAUUUCGACGCUACACAAAUCUAUCAAGCUAACGUCGGUUUUAUCCGACGCAACCCUGUCAGUCAAAAAUAUGUCAGACCAUUCAGUCAAAAGCGUGUCAGGCUGCGUGUAGUCAGAACUAGUGUUCAUCAUAUUUCGACGCAAAGUCAUUUUUUAUCAAUUUGUCAGACAUUGCGUCGGUUUUGACCAACGUAAGGUUUUCACAUUUCAACACAACUUGUAGCUACUGUCGGUAUUAACCGACGCUAUGUUCAUUAGUAUUUAAGCCUCGUCUUUCCCAGGACUUAUGCGCUUCCAUCUCUCUUGUCAUAUCAGAACUCCAUCAGUAUUUAACCCAGAUGCUGUUAUAUCAGAACUCUGAUUGACUUUUCAAUCUUUGUUCCAUCAGUAUUUAACCCAGAUGCUGUUAUAUCAGAACUCCAUCUCUCUUAUAUUUCUCCUCUGGUUUACUCCCUCUCCUUCUCCUCUGGUUACUUUCCCUUGUCGACUUUUCAAUGUUAUAUCAGAACCCAGAUGCUUGGAUUAUAUCAGAACCCAGAUGUUCACCGAGACAUUGAUGGCUUGUCCGGCUGACCGGAUCUCCAGAGGGCAAAUCUCGCUCGGCACCAACCGCAACGGACCCCAAGACCAUGCAAAUGCUGCUACAUAUGCACAGAUCGAGAACAAGAUCCGAUUGGCUUCAGUUUUUGUAAAGGAGAAGGAGAGGGAGUAAACCUACAGUGCAUGUGUGGAACAAGAUCCGAUUGCCUAUCAUCACUCCAACGGCAACCUACAGUGCAUGUGUGGAAGUUUGGUAAUGUCCUUUACAAAUUAAAGGAGGCAAACAAUUGUUUUUAUUAAAUUGAUUGUGUUUAAGUACCUGGCACAGGAGCAUCUGCACACCACCUUGAAGGAACAACACCCUUCUUCCGAACUUAUCGACUGCGAGAAUGGACACAAAGGUAGCAACCACGUUAACACCGCCGGUGAUGACUGCGGACAUUAGGGAUGCUUCGUCUCCAAACCCCAAGGUCAUGAAAAUAACUGGUGCGUAAAACAUGAUCACAUUGAUCCCGGUGAGCUGCUAGAAGAAUGGAACGAGAAUGCAAAUGACAAGUUGAGGCCUAUAUCUCGGCUCUGUGAUGUUGGUCCAUUGGUUUUCCACUUUUUGGGCAGCGUCAGUAGCAUCAAAAAGGUCUUGGAACUCCUCAUCAACGUUGUUGGUGCCACGGAUUUUUUUCACUAACUUUUGCUAUGGAUAAUUCUAGUGAGGAUCAAUGUUCUGAGGAACUUCAUUUGGAAGAGGAGGUGUUAGAAACUGGUUCUUUUUUUACUUAUUAUAAAUUUCAGUUUUUGUUUAGUGUUUAAACUAAUAUUAUUCUUAAAUUGAAAUUUUACAUUUGUUUCCUGUUUUUUAGUUGUUUUUUUUUGUAUUAAUAAGGUAUAUCUCAGCAGAGGUGCGCAGCAACCCUCCUCCUGAAGUGAAUCCUAUAAUUGAAAUUUAUUAUUAGAUUAUAUAAUUUUUUUGAGUUAUAAUUAUUUGAGAACGAAUACAGAAACAGAUUUCGAUUUUUUAUUUAUUAUUAUUAUCAAAGGUGGUGUCGCUUUAAACCGUCACUAGUUUGCAUAUUUUAUUUAUUUAAUUCUUAUCUAACGUCGCUUUAAACCGUCACUUGUUUGCAUAUUUUAUUUAUUUAAUUGUUAUCUAACGUCGCUUUAAACCGUCACUUGUUUGCAUUUUUUAUUUAUUUAAUUGUUAUCUAACGUCACUUUAAACCGUCACUAGUUUGCAUAUUUUAUUUAUUUAAUUGUUAUCUAACGUCGCUUUAAACCGACGUUGAAAUCAGCGUCGCUUCAAACCGACGCUGCUUAGUGGCGGAUUAAGCGAACAAACCGACACUGAAGCCCUUUAGUGACGGUAGCAAUGGCGUCGCUAUUCUAAUCCGACAUUGCAGUGUUUUAUGUCGGAUUUUUGCCAAAUUGCCGACAUAAAUCGGGUUUCUUGUCGGUUUUUGGUCCGCCGGUGAUAGCCUAUAUUGUAGUAGUGUAAGGAAUUUGAGCUAUUAUUUUCGGUACUUGUUUAAACCAAAGUCCAAAUGAUUCGUAAAAGGAUGAAAAGUUACAAAUAAAUAAUAGAGCAAGUCACGAGGAUCGAAUCCGUGGCCGUUUCCAUUGUAUAACAAGUAAGCAAAACUAGCUCUGCAGGUAGGAUAUUUUGAUAAGAGUUUUUAUAGUCGGAUAAUGUUAGGGAGAUCAAAAUUUUAAACUCAAUGAUAUAUCAUUAAUAGGAAAUAAAUACGUUAAUCAAUAGUGAAGUAAUAAUCUAGUCAUCAACAUCCACAUAAUUUAGUUUGUAAAAUUUAGCUUAAAAAUUUGAACUCCUUAACAUUAGUACGCCAGAGUCGUCCACCAACAUGAAUGCGGGCCUCCUCGCUCUCACUAAAGCAUUCAAAGUAGAGCAUUAUUGCCAUUGAGGAUUUGUUUCAUCUCUCAUUUUCACUCAAUUAGUGAUAUAAAGGUUGAUGUUGGAUAAAGUUCUAGACCCACCGCACGAUAUCAACAAGAAAACAGAAAAAAAUAAAUAAAUUAGGCAACAAGAGAAUAAAAAAUUAAAGAACCCCCAAUUUUUAAUUUCAAAUUAAAGAACUCAGAGAAGGCGGGAGAGAGCCGGAAGUGGACGGCGGAGCUUGUAGAAAUCACAACUGAUGGUUAGAAAUGAAUCGUGGGUUUCUUUACUUUUGUUUUUUUUUUUUAACAAACGAUAUUAUCUACACUACGGAAAGGGGGUGAACUUAGCCUCACAAUGGGCUAGCAAUAAUGUGGUUCAGAUUCUCCUUUGACGAGAAUCGAACCUAACAUCUCACUUACAAGUGAAGAUGAAUACCACUAGAUCGUAGUACUAAGUGACUAUUUUUUUUUCUCUUGGUUUCUUGGUUUUUGAUAGGGGUAAAAUUGGAUUUUAAAAGAAAAAAAAUAAUGGGGUGAACUUAGAUGAAUAGUGGGGUGUAAAUAGAAAUAUAACCUCAUUUUAAUAGAAACUUAUAAUUUUUUGGUGCCACUUACUCUUUGGGGUCCAGGCGGUCGUCUUGCUAGCCCUGAAUUAAAGUCGGCUCUGAUCGUGUUUAAAUAGAAAAAUUAUUUUUCUUUUGGGAAAUAUACGAUCAACACAAUUAAGUUAACAGAAUUGCUAAAGUUAUUCAAGAAAAUGUGCUAAAGUUAGUCCAAGUCAAUAGGUCAAAUCCUAUCCCAACAUGCGAUCUUUAACAAACUUUUAAGAAUUCAAUUCAUGUAUACCAAAACUUUACAUAAAGGGAGGGAUGCACGAGUGUCAUGUAUGAAAGCGAAGUGAUUCAAAAUGAGAUGUAAUCAAAUGAUGAUACCAAGACACAUCAACGAUAAACAUAACAUUGUUGAUCAUUUCCUUGAUAUAGAUAGACGUUAGUCUUCACUAUGGUAGGAGAGACGUAAUUUUACUAUAAUUGUGAUCAAUUAGAAACAAUAACCUAAUUGAUAUUUGGAGACACUACAUAAAAAGUGAGUAAUAGCUACCCAUGGUGCAACUAUUACCUACUUUUUGACUUUUUUUGUCACGUUCACCACUCUUUCUAAUUAAUAAAGUAACGUUAUAUUCACCACAUUUUAUAUAUCACAUCUCUACUCUAAUAAAGUUAUGACCCACUAGUAUGAAUACGUCUCACCUAUAUUAGACGUUAGGAAUAUAGUACAAAUGUGUACAAAAUGAAAGAAUAAAAUGCACCUUCACAACUCAUCUCCGUUGAAUGAACAAAAAUAAUCACUUUCACAACUCAACCCCGAAUUUGUUGUUGUGGAUUCACUCGCCGAUGUUACAACCAAACUUCCAUCAGAACAAACUGGGAAAAUUAUAAUUUUGUGCUUCAAAUGUGCGAAGAGAAUGAAUAAUAUUCAUUUUGGACCAAAAAUAAAAGAAAUUAAAAUUUUCAAAAGAAAUAUCUGAAUUCCAUUGCAUUAUAUUUUUUAAUAAAAGUUUGUAUUGUGGAGACUGAAACAACAGUGGUACAAAUUUCAAAAUUUUACCUUGAACAACUCCAAUUUAACACGCUGAUAUUCUAUUGGUAGCCUUUUUACCUUUAACACCUCCAGUUUAACAUCGAAAUUAAGAUUGACUAUGCUUGGAGAAGACUAUGUAGGAGGAUUACUGAUCAGGUGAACUACUUCCCUCAUCGUAGGUCUUGCAGAGCUGUCGUUGUCGACACGCAGCAUUGCCAGUUUGAACAAAUGUAUGACAGCCGCCAAGGGGUAUCCGGCGAGAUUUGGAUCCACCACUGCUAGUACCGAUGAUGAACUGGACAACGACUUGGUAGUUUUCCUCACCCAACCCACUAUGUUUAUAGCGUCUUCAUAGUUCAUCACUGCUUUCCUCCCUGUUAUGAGCUCCAGCAAAACCACACCAAAACUGUACACGUCACUUUCAGUGUAUAACCGUACUCAGUAAGUUUGUGCACCAUCAUAUAAAAAAAAUAUAUUGUUAGUGGAAGUGGACCAAAAAACAGGUCUAGCUAGAUAGAUGCUCGACUAACAAGAUACUUGAUUAUAUAAUAUUUGACAUGUUUUGGUGAAGGUAGGGGGCUUUUGAUAACCAUUUCAUUAACAUUUUUUAUUUUUAUAAAAAUGAAACCUGAUUUCAAAAUCAAGUCAGAAUGUAAAAACUCAGAAAAACAUAUUUUAGAUUUUGGUUUUAAGUUUUUAUUUUUCAUAUUUUUUUAUUUGAAAAUUAAAAACCAUUAUCAAACAAGUUUUAAUUUUUCGAUUUUUCUAUAAUGAAAGAAAAAACUAAAAACCCUAUAAACUGAAAAUUAAAAUAGUUAUCAAACAAUUCUUUAAUUAAUUAAUCGAAGAUGAAAUAGAUUACGGACCUGGGGCGAUGUAACCGAAGGAACCAGCAACUGAAGACAUGCAAUCAGCUGCUACUCCAUGAAAGUACUUGGCGAGCCCAAAAUCAGCAACAUGAGCCUCAAAGUUUGAAUCCAACAAGAUGUUAUGGGACUUGACAUCUCUGUGUAUAAUCAGGGGUGAACAGUCACGGUGCAGAUAACACAAUCCCUUUGCAGCCUCCACUGCAAUUUUAUACCUCCUCUCCCACUGCAACUCCCCUCCAUUUUCCCCAUGCAAUAUUUUUCCCAAGCUACCAUUAGGCAUGUACUCGUACAACAACAAAUUAGAGUCCUUAUUGUUCGACAUGUAUCCCAAAACCCUCACUAUGUUUCGGUGUUUGAUUCGUCCCAGCGUCUUAAUUUCCGCUGCAAAUCCAUGAUCCGUUUUUGCUGUAUUACUUGAUGAUCCUACUAGCUGUUUGAUUGCUAUGACGAGGCCGCUUGGCAUGGUUGCCCGGUAGACAACCCCAGCACCACCUUUGCCUAUAAUGUUCUCUUGCUUUAAGCACUGUAGCAAGUCCUCGACUUUGAGGUCGAGCUGCUGGAACAAUGUGAACCUCCAACCACUAGAUUUUUGAAUAUUUCUUCCUGUACAAACCUUUAUCAGUAGGAAUACCAGAAGUAGGAUAAGUAGGGAACCGAGAACCGCAGGUCCAACCAUGAUCAUAAGACCGAGCCUGGAGGAACCAAACACAUUGUGGUCUUGAGAUUUCUUGUUAAUGAAGGAACACGGGCGUGAGACGUUGGUACAGAGAUAGGGGUUCCCACGAAACGAGGCAAUGUCCAGAAAAUGACCCCUGGUUGGGAUUCUACCGGUGAAAUUGUUAUAAGAGAGAUCCAAAGUUGUAAGGGUUUCCAUGGCGGGUAUUCCGUCAGGUAUUUGGCCAGUGAGUUGGUUCCGAGACAUAUUUAUCCCUCUUGGGAUUUCGCCGACCAAAUUGUUUCGACUCAAAUCAAGGGACUCUAGAGACGAACAAUUAGAAACAGAAGCUGGAAUUUCGCCACCGAGCUUGUUGACGCUGAUGUUGAUCUUUGAUAACACUAUCAAGCUGGAAUUUAUGUGUCACAUUAGCACUUAACGGAAUUUUUGACAGAAUUUUGACGAAAUGAUCACAUUGAUUUGCGACACCUAUUUUCAGGGACUACAUUUAUUGAUUUUUAAUUUUAGGGACCAUUUUGAUGGUGAGGGUCAAUUUUAGGGACUAUUUGUGAUAAAAACCCAAAAAGAAAUUGAAGAACCCCCAAUUUUUAUUUCAAAUUAAAGAACUCAAAGAAGGCUGGAGAGAGAAGUCGUGGGAGGAGCUUGGAGGUAGGCCUAGCAAUUCCUGACACGACCCAAUAACCCGACACGACACGACACGAAAUUAACAGGUGUUCGGGUCGACACGAUAACGAAACGGGUCGUUAUCGGGUAACCCGAUAAGCACCUGUUAAGAUAACGGGUUUGUUCGGGUAUACACGUGGGUAACACGAUACACGAUAAGCAGAAUAUUAAUUUAAUAAUUUAUAACCCUAAAAAAUACUAUAAUAAUAUAUAUAUAUAUAUAUAUAUAUAUAUUAAUUUAACAAUUUUAUACCCCUAAAAACUAUAAUAAUUAUAAUAUAUAUAUAUAUAUUUAAAUUAACUAUAAUAAUUAUAAUAAUUAUAUAUAUAUAUAUAAUAAUUAUACCCAAAAUAUUAACUAUAAUAAUUAUAUAUAUAUAUAUAUAUAUAUUAAAUUUUAUACCCCUAAAAACUAUAAUAAUUAUACAUACAAAAUAAAUAGAUUUAAAUCUACUUAAUAAAUAAAUAUAUAUAUAUACACACACACACCAUUGAACUUCAUGGGAUACGAAUUAUACGAAACUAAUUUCAACGAUCCAACCAUCAAACAUGUUUGUAUAUACUUCGAGAUCGCAUACGCCAAAAAUUGCAAAAAACAAACAUUCAGAGAGCAAGUAACGGGACAAAACUUUUCGACGAUUAUAAACGAAAAAUCACGAUUUAACGGUUAUUUUAACUCCGAUUUUGAUGAUUUUUUACAACCACACUCCUUGACCCUAUAUGAAUACAAUGAUUGAAUUCGAUCUUCAAUUUAAAAUAUUUACACUAGUGGAUACCACAAAAUCUUAUGUUAUACUUAAUAAAAGUAUGAAUAAACUCUUAAGUAUUAGUAAAUCUAUUGUUUUGAUGGGAUACUCGUUUUACAAAACUAGUUUCAAUGAUCCAACCGUCAAACAUGUUUGUAUAUACUUCGAGAUCGCAUACGCCAAAAAUUGCAAAAAACAAACAUUCAGAGAUCAAGUAAUGAGACAAAAGUUUUCGACGGUUAUAAACAAAAAAUCACGAUUUAACGGUUAGUUUAACUCCGAUUUUGAUGAUUUUUUACAACUACACUCCUUGACCCUAUAUGAAUACAAGUAAUGAAUUCGAUCUUCAAUUUAAAAUAUUUACACUAGUGGAUACCACAAAAUCUUAUGUUAUACUUAAUAAAAGUAUGAAUAAACUAUUAAGUAUUAGUGAAUCUAUUGUUUUGAUAGGAUACUCAUUCUACGAAACUAGUUUCAAAGAUCCAACCGUCAAACAUGUUUGUAUAUACUUCGAGAUCGCAUACGUAAAAAAUUACAAAAAACAAACAUUCAGAGAUCAAUUAACAGGACAAAACUUUUCGACGGUUAUAAAAAGAAAAAUCACGAUUUAACGGUCAUUUUAACUCUGAUUUUGAUGAUUUUUUGCAACUACACUCCUUGACCUUAUAUGAAUACAAUGAUUGAAUUCGAUCUUCAAUUUAAAAUAUUUACACUAGUGGAUACCACAAAAUAUUAUAUUAUACUUAAUAAAAGUAUGAAUAAACUAUUAAGUAUUAGUGAAUCUAUUGUUUUGAUGGGAUACUCAUUCUACGAAACUAGUUUCAAUGAUCCAACCGUCAAACAUGUUUAUAUAUACUUCGAGAUCGCAUACGCCAAAAAUUGCAAAAAACAAACAUUCAGAGAGCAAGUAACGGGACAAAAUUUUUCGACGGUUAUAAACGAAAAAUCACGAUUUAACGGUUAUUUUAACUCCGAUUUUGAUGAUUUUUUACAACUACACUCCUUGACCCUAUAUGAAUACAAUGAUUGAAUUCGAUCUUCAAUUUAAAAUAUUUACACUAGUGGAUACCACAAAAUCUUAUGUUAUACUUAAUAAAAGUAUGAAUAAACUCUUAAGUAUUAGUGAAUCUAUUGUUUUAAUGGGAUACUCAUUCUACGAAACUAGUUUCAAUGAUCCAACCGUCAAACAUGUUUGUAUAUAUUUCGAGAUCGCAUACGCCAAAAAUUGCAAAAAAAAAAACAUUCAGAGAGCAAGUAACGGGACAAAAAUGUUCGACGGUUAUAAACGAAAAAUCAUGAUUUAACGGUUAAUUUAACUCCGAUUUUGAUAAUUUUUUACAACUACACUCCUUGACCUUAUAUGAAUACAAUGAUUGAAUUCGAUCUUCAAUUUAAAAUAUUUACACUAGUGGAUACCACAAAAUCUUAUGUUAUACUUAAUAAAAGUAUGAAUAAACUAUUAAGUAUUAGUGAAUCUAUUGUUUUGAUGGGAUACUCAUUCUACGAAACUAGUUUCAAAGAUCCAACCGUCAAACAUGUUUGUAUAUACUUCGAGAUCGCAUACGUCAAAAAUUACAAAAAACAAACAUUCAGAGAUCAAUUAACGGGACAAAACUUUUCAACGGUUAUAAAAAGAAAAAUCACGAUUUAACGGUCAUUUUAACUCUGAUUUUGAUAAUUUUUUUCAGCUACACUCCUUGACCUUAUAUGAAUACAAUGAUUGAAUUCGAUCUUCAAUUUAAAAUAUUUACACUAGUGGAAACCACAAAAUCUUAUAUUAUACUUAAUAAAAGUAUGAAUAAACUAUUAAGUAUUAGUGAAUCUAUUGUUUUGAUGAGAUACUCUCCAACCGUCAAACAUGUUUGUAUAUACUUCACGAUCGUAUACGUCAAAAAUUACAAAAAAAAAAACAUUCAGAGAUCAAGUAACGGGACAAAACUUUUCGACGGUUAUAAAUGAAAAAUCACGAUUUAACGGUCAUUUUAACUCUGAUUUUGAUGUUUUUUUACAACCACACUCCUUGACACUAUAUGAAUACAAUGAUUGAAUUCGAUCUUCAAUUUAAAAUAUUUACACUAGUGGAUACCACAAAAUCUUAUAUUAUACUUAAUAAAAGUAUGAAUAAACUAUUAAGUAUUAGUGAAUCUAUUGUUUUGAUGGGAUACGAAUUAUACGAAACUAAUUUCAACGAUCCAACCACCAAACAUGUUUGUAUAUACUUCGAGAUCGCAUACACCAAAAAUUGCAAAAAACAAACAUUCAGAGAGCAAGUAACGGGACAAAACUUUUUGACGGUUAUAAACGAAAAAUCACGAUUUAACGGUCAUUUUAACUCCGAUUUUGAUGAUUUUGUACAACCACACUCCUUGACCCUAUAUGAAUACAAUGAUUGAAUUCGAUCUUCAAUUUAAAAUAUUUACACUAGUGGAAACCACAAAAUCUUAUGUUAUACUUAAUAAAAGUAUGAAUAAACUCUUAAGUAUUAGUGAAUCUAUUGUUUUGAUGGGAUACUCAUUCUACGAAACUAUUUUCAAUGAUCCAACCGUCAAACAUGUUUGUAUAUAUUUCGAGAUUGCAUACGCCAAAAAUUGCAAAAAACAAACAUUCAGAGAGCACGUAAUGGGACAAAACGUUUUGACGGUUGUAAACAAAAAAUCACGAUUUAACGGUUAAUUUAACUCCGAUUUUGAUGAUUUUUUACAACUACACUCCUUGACCUUAUAUGAAUACAAUGAUUGAAUUCGAUCUUCAAUUUAAAAUAUUUACACUAGUGGAUACCACAAAAUCUUAUGUUUAUACUUAAUAAAAGUAUGGUAUAAUACUAUUGUUUUAUUUUUUUUCAUAAUUAUUUUGGUAAACUUCUCAUAAUUUGAAUGAUUUUUAAUGUUUGGUUUUUCUAUGCUUAGUUUAUGCAGAAGAUAGUUAUGACGUGGAAAACUUUACUGAAAACAUCAUCAACAUAACUCUUGAAGGCAAUAGAUCAAGCCAAAGUUCCAAUGCAAUUUCAUGAUGAUCGAUGUAAAUCGAGGAUUUUGUAAAUUCAGGUUUAAACUUUUGAGAAAGAUUUCACAACCUUGAAAACAAAAAUUGUUUCAUUUUGCAUAUCCUUGCACAUUUAAAAUUUGUAAUAGAUUAGUAGUGUAUGUAUUAUUUUUUUAUUAGGCUCUUAUUUUCGAGUGUAGAUGUAGUACUUAAACGACAAAUGUGUUUUAAUGUUUUGAAGUAAUAUUUAUGUGGCAAUGUGUGGUAUGUGCAAAUUUAAGAAAAAAAAUAUAUUUUUCUUAACGGGUCAUAACGGGUCGGGUCACUUUACCCGUUGGGUAAAGUGACACGACCUGUUAAGGACCCGUUAAGAUAACGGGUGUGACACGACACGACCUGUUAAGAUAACAUGUGUUACACGAAAACGACACGAACACGACUGACACGACCCGUUUGCCAGGCCUACUUGGAGGGAUCAUAGUUGAUGGUUAGAAACGAAUCGUGGGUUUCUUAACUUUUUUUUUUCUCUUACUUUUUCAAUAGGGGUAAAAUUGUAUUUUAAAAGAUAAAAAAAUAAUAGAUGAAUUUGAAGCAACUUCAAAUGAGAUGUCAAAAAGUCUACAUCAACAUUAACAGUAAAAAAAUGACAUAAUCAGUGUUCUCCAACCACAAUGUCAAUUCAUAUGUGACAUGACAUGUAAUAGCAGAAGGGGGAGUUGCUGUCAAAUUUGACAACAGCUUCAAAUAUGUUUUUUAUGAUUUUUAUUAUUAGCUUUUGUUUUAAAACUACUAAUUAUAAUUAUAAAAAGUAAAUAAUGUAAUAAAUAAUAGUUUAAACUUGACAUAUUGGGGUGAAGAACAAAAUUUAAGAGAAAAUCAAUGUGCCACAACCUUCAAAUUAAAUUUUUAUGUUUAAAAUUUGACAUUUCCUUUCCACUUAGUAAUACGGUUUAGUAGUAUUUUACUUGUAAGUGAGAGGUUUUAAGUAUAAUUCUCGCUUAAGGCGGAUUUGAACCACAUUAUUAUGACUCGCCCAUUGUGAGGCUUAGUCGAUUCUCCCACCUCCUUAAUGUAGAUAAUAUCGUUUGUUUAAUUUUUUUUUUUAAAGAAGAUGGUCUUAGAUGUAAAAUGCCAUAAUGGUAUGUAAAUAGAAACAUAACCUCAUAUUAAUAGAAACUUAAUAUUAUGGUGCCCUGAUUUUCUGGGGACCUGGGCGGCCAUCUUGCUAGCCUGAACCACUGCCAACUAGUGUUUGAGUAGGAUUUUUAUUUUUUUUUUGGAAAAUAUACAUUUAUUUUUUGUAACACAAUUAACUAUACCCAUCAGAAGCAUUGGGGAGUGGUCGGCAAAGAUGUGUGUAAUGGGAUUCGGUCAGUUCUGGUAAUAUUCUCCGAAAAAUUAACUAUACCCAUGUUACAUUAAUUCCAAAAGUCAAAGAUGCUACGAUGAUGACUCAACUUUGCCCUAUUAGCUUGUGCAAUGUGUUAUACAAAAUAGUGGCGAAGGUCCUCACAAACAGGUUGAAGUUUAUCCUUACGCAGGUUAUAUCCCAUACUCAAAGUGAUUUCGUUCCGGGACGCUUAAUCUUCGAUAAUUACUUGGUUACUGUUGAGGUUGCUCAUUAUAUGCAUAAAAGGUCAUUGGGAGUUAAUGGGCUUAUGGCUUUGAAAUUAGACAUGAGUAAGGCCUACGAUCGAGUGUAAUGGAAGUUUUUGGAGGCUAUGAUGCGAAGGUUGGGAUUCGCUAAAAGGUGGAUCCAUAUGGUCAUGUUGUGUGUGUCCACGGUGACUUAUUCCUUUAAGUUAAAUGGGGAUCCGGUGGGUUAUGUGCACCUAGAAAGAGGAAUAAGACAAGGAGAUCCUCUCUCCCCUUUCUGAUUUGUGUUAUGUGCAGAAGGCUUGUCGACUCUCUUGUCGAAGGCUGAGUUUGAUGGAGAGUAACAUGGGAUCAAGGUGUGUUGUGCUGCUCCUAGUAUUCAUCAUUUGUUUUUCGCUGAUGACAGUUUUCUUUUUGCCCAAGGUACUAUUGGUGAAUGCCAGGUCAUAAAAUAGGUAUUGCGAAGGUAUAAGUUGGCUUCGGGACAAGCAGUUAAUUUUGAGAAGAGUUGUGUUUCAUUUAGUCCCAACCUCAAUAUUUAUGAUAGGCAGUUAUUGGCUGAUAGUCUUGGGAUGCGAAGAGUGGAUUUUCAUGAUAAAUAUCUGGGUUUGCUAGUUUUGGUCCGAAAAUCGAAAAAAGAAACCUUUGCGUAUGUGAAAGAUAAGGUGUGGAAAAAGUUGCAAAGUUGGCGAGGCGGUUUACUUAGUAGUGUGGGUUGCGAAUUAUUGGUGAAGACGGUGGCGCAGGCCUUACCUACAUAUUCCAUGCAAUGUUUUAUACUCUCUAAAUCAUUUUGCGAGGAGUUGAAUAUGAUGAUAGCGAAGUUUUGGUGGAGUGGUGACCCGGGGAAAAGGAAAAUACAUUGGCUCAAUUGGAGAGUGUUGUGUAAGUCUAAGCAGGAGGGAGGUCUUGGGUUUAGAGACCUUUAUGCAUUCAAUUUGGCUUUAUUAGCCAAACAGGCAUGGCGUUUUCUGCACAAUCCUGAGGCAUUGGUGUAUCGGUUUUUCAAGGCCCAGUACUUCCCUACCACAGAUUUUCUUGAAGCUCGGGUAACAUCUAAUAGCUCAUAUGUCUGGCGUAGUAUUGUCACUUUGAGAUCGGUUCUCCACAAGGGACUUCGGUGGCAGAUGGGUAAUGGUAAGUUGAUUCAUAUUUGAAAGGACAAUUGGGUGCCGAGGGAGUCAUGCCUCCAGAUUUUGACCCCACCACCAUUACAUUGGAAUGGUGAAGCCACGGUGGAUGGCUUGUUGAGGCCGGAUGUUAAGUAGUGGGAUGAGAGUUUGUUGAUUUCACUUUUUUUCUCAGGAGGAAGUGGAACUAAUUCAAGGGAUCACACUUAGCUUGCGUGAUAUUGCUGAUUGCAGAGUGUGGCAUUAGGCAGAUUUACGGUCCGAAGUGCGUAUCAUGUUGCUCGAGGAAUAAUUGCUGCUAGUGGGGAAAGAGCUGAAGGCUCAUACUCGUACACUAGUAAUAAUGGGGACAAGCUAUGGAAGAAGCUAUGGACGACUUGUGUCCCUGGGAAAGUAAAGAUUUGUGUGUGGUGUGCAUGUUUGGAUUCUUUGCCUACAAGGUUAAAUCUUUGUAAGCGAAGGGUGCCAGUCAACAGUGGUUAUCUUAUAUGUGGUUGCCAGGUGGAAUCCGUAAAGCAUGUUUUGCGUGAUUGCCAUGUUGCUAAAGCCGUAUGGUUUCACGGUUUGGGUGUAGGGGUGGAAAGUGGGCACGGUGUGAAUUUCUUGAAUUGGUUAGCAAAUCUGCAUUUACAGGGAUCUCCGGUGGGAUUUGAGCUUGGUAUAAUGUUGGUUUGGUCACUAUGGCAUCACCGGAAUGAAGUUCUUUGGAAUGGUAAGUACUCAAAUCUGGAUGAGAUCGUAUUACAGACGGAGGGUUAGUUACAUGAAUUCCACAAGUGCCAUAAGACGGACAUAAGGAAGGGGAGACGUGAGUUGCAGAAGUGGAUAAGACCAAUGGAGGGUUGGAUAAAGUGCAAUUUCGAUGGAGCAUGGAAUCACCGUCAACAUUGGGAUGGGUAUGGAAUUGUUUUGCGUAAUCACUUGGGGGAGUUUUUAGGUGCUGCAGGUCCCAUUCAUUGCUCCACGUCUGCCUUGCAUGCGGAAUUCUUAGCAGCUAGGCACGCUGCACAAUUUGUUCAAAGGUUAUAUUCGGUCAAUGUCCAAGUUCAACUUGAAGGAGAUGCGAGCUUGGUAUUGACUGCCAUUAAGGGCCAAGGUGAGGAUAUGUCUAAUUUUGGACCCAUUAUUAAUGAUUUGCGAUGUUUCUGUUUGGAGUGGUCGAAGUUGACGGUAAGUCAUGUGCAACGGGAAGGAAUUUCGGCGGCUCAUCGGCUUGCUCGGCUAGGGCUUACUUGUACUGAGGAGAUUGUGUGGUUCGAGGAUCCUCCGUAUUUAAUUCAGGAUAUUUUGUUGGAGAAAGGAUUAUAAGUUUGAUUGUUCAUUUGAGGAUAGGUCUAUUGUUGUGCGGGACACUCUUUUCCUUGUACCGGGUUGAAAUCCCCGGCAAGGUUUUUAUCGAGGCCCAUUUUGCACACUAUCCUCAGUUUAUACGAAUUAUGUUUUGUUUAAUGAAUAUCGUACCUUUUGUUCAAAAAAAAAAUUUCUUAAUUUCUUCAACAAAAAAAUGCAUUAAUAUUUUUAUUAAUUUGUAAAAAAUAAAAAAUAAAAAAUCUAAUACAAAAGGUUUCAUUUAAUUUAAAAAAUAAUUUAUGGUCCAAUCAUGUUUCUUGUCGAACUGCACCCAACUCUGGAAAAAAUUGAGUCGUAGCUAAGUCUAUUCAAGUAAAUGUGCUAAAGUUAGUCAAAGUCAAUGAAGUGAAUCCUAUCCCCUGAAACAUAUUGCCCUGCAGCAUCUACGGGAUCUUUAACAAAACUUUUAAGAAUUCAAUUCAUUUACACCAAAACUUUACAUAAAGUAAAUCUGCAAAACUUUUAAGAAUUCAAACCAAAACUUUACGUAAAGGGAGGGAUGCACGAUUUUCAUGUGUGAAAGCGAAAUGAUUCAAAUACGAGGCAUAAUCAAAUGAUGUUAUUGAGGCACACGAUAAUGAUAAACAUAACAUUGUUGAUCAUCUCUAUGGAAUAGGUAGAUGUUAGAUUUUGAUUCACUUUUACUGAAAUUGUGAUCAACAUUAUGAUCAAUUAGAAACAAUAACCUAAUUAAUUUUUGGAGACACUACAAGAAAAGUGAGCAAUAGCUACUCUAGUUAGUGACUACUUUGGUAAUUGUUGCUGGGUGACAAUGGUGUUGCCAAUGAGAAAAUAGUGAUAAAAGUUCAAAUAUAUCUAUAUUGAUGCAUUUGUCGCCAUUGUGGUGUAACUAUUACCUACUUUUUAGUUUUUUGUAACACUCAUCACCAGAGUAAAAUUACAUUUAUCACAUUUUGUAUAUACCACAUUUCUAAUAGAAGAAAGAAUCCACCAGUAUCAAUAGGUCACACCUAUAUUAGACAUUAGGGAUGUAGUACAAAUAAAUGUGUACAAAAUGAAAGAAUUAAUAUAAUGCACCUUCACAACUCAACUCUGUUGAAUGAAAAAAAAUUAGUUACUUUCACAACUCAAAUCUAUUUUUACUCCAACAAGUUUUGGUAAAAUGCCUAUGGUACGUUAUAAUAUUUACACUACAAGGAAAAAAAGCCUUUUAGGACUAGGGUUUUCAUCAUAAAUGUUUUGAGGCAAGAACCAACAUGUGUUUUUUUUUUAAGAUGAACUAACAUAUGUUUCGUUUCAUACAAAAGAUCUCAGUAUUAUUCGUAAUGAUACCAUUAUUCAUCUAUUGUACCUUAAUUUGUAAAGUUUUAACAUCAUUUUACACAUUCUUCAACAAUACCAGUUUAGACAAUUCAAAUAUAUGAGCAUUAUUCUGCUACACUACAACUCGCUCAAAAAUUAUAGUUCUUUAGAUCCCAAAAACAUAUCUAAAUUAAGGUUGACUAUGCUUGAAGAAGACUAUGUAGGAGGAUUACUGAUCAGGCAAACGACUUCCCUCAUCGUAGGUCUUGCAGUGCUGUCGUUGUCGACACAAAGCAUUGCCAGUUUGAACAAGUGUACGGCAGCCGCCAAGGGGUAUACGGCGAGAUUUGGAUCCACCACUGCUAGUACCGAUGAUGAACUGGACAACGACUUGGUAGUUUUCCUCACCCAACCCACUAAGCUUAUAGCGUCUUCAUAGUUCAUCACUGCUUUCCUCCCUGUUAUUAGCUCCAGCAAAACCACACCAAAACUGUACACGUCUAUUUUCUCAUCCACUUUUAGUGUAUAACCGUACUCUGUAAGUUUGCACCAUCAUAUAAAAUAAAAUAAAUUAUUGAUAGAUGCUUGACUAACAAGAAACUUUUUUAUAUUUGACGUGUUUUGGUGAAGGUACGGAGCUUUUGAUAACCAUUUCAUUUACAUUUAUUUUAUUUAUUUUAUUUUUUAUACAAAUGAAAUCUGAUUUCAAAAUCAAGUCAGAAUGUAAAAACUCACAAAAGCAUAUUUUAGAUUUUGGUCUUAAGUUUUCAUUUUUCAUAUUUUUUUAUUUGAAAAUUAAAAACCGUUAUCAAACAAGUUUUAAUUUUUCGACUUUUCUAUAAUGAAAGAAAAAAAACUAAAAACCCUAUAAACUGAAAAUUAAAAUAAUUAUCAAAUAAUUCUUUAAUUAAUUAAUCGAAGAUGAAAUAGAUUACGGACCUGGGGCGAUGUAACCGAAGGAACCAGCAAAUGAAGACAUGCAAUCAGCUGCUACUCCAUGAAAGUACUUGGCGAGCCCAAAAUCAGCAACAUGAGCCUCAAAGUUUGAAUCCAACAAGAUGUUAUGGGACUUGAUAUCUCUGUGUAUAAUCAGGGGUGAACAGUCAUGGUGUAGAUAACACAAUCCCUUAGCAGCCUCCACUGCAAUUUUAUACCUCCUCUCCCACUGCAGUUCCCCUCCAUUUUCCCCAUGCAAUAAUUUUCCCAAGCUACCAUUAGGCAUGUACUCGUACAACAACAAAUUAGAGUCCUUAUUGUUCGACAUGUGUCCCAAAAGCCUCACUAUGUUUCGGUGUUUGAUUUGCCCCAGCGUCUUAAUCUCCGCUGCAAAUCCAUGAUCCCUUUGCCCUCUAUUACUUGAUGAUCCUACUAGCUGUUUGAUUGCUAUGUCAAGGCCGCUUGGCAUGGUUCCCCGGUAGACAAUCCCAGCACCGCCUUUGCCUAUUAUGUUCUCUUGCUUUAUGCACUGUAGCAAGUCCUCGACUUUGAGGUCGAGCUGCUGGAACAAUGUGAGCCUCCAACCACUAGAUUUUUGAAUAUUUCUUCCUGUACAAACCUUUAUCAGUAGGAAUACUAGAAGCAGGAUAAGUAGGGAACCGAGAACCGCAGGUAGUCCAGCGAUGAUCAUAAGACCGAGCCUGGAGGAACCAAACACAUUGUGGUCUUGAGAUUUCUUGUUAAUGAAGGAACACGGGCGUGAGACGUUGGUACAGAGAUAGGGGUUCCCACGAAACGACGCGAUAUCCAGAAAAUGAUCACUGGUUGGGAUUCUACCGGUGAAAUUGUUAUAAGAGAGAUCCAAAGUUGUAAGGGUUUCCAUGCCGGGUAUUCCGUCAGGUAUUUGGCCAGUGAGUCGGUUCCGAGACAUAUUCAGAAGAUAAACUAGUUUCAGCUUCUCUACCCCUCUUGGGAUUUCGCCGACCAAAUUGUUUCGACUCAAAUCAAGCGACCCUAGAGACGAACAAUUAGAAACAGAAGCUGGAAUUUCGCCACCGAGCUUGUUGACGCUGAUGUUGAUUUUUGAUAACACUAUCAAGUUGAAGAUUUCGUCUGGUAUUUUCCCAGAAAAUCGGUUCAUCUCCAGCGAGAGAGUUGUUAAGUUGUUGAGGUUUCCAAUUGCGGGUGGGAUCCUCCCCGAAAUCUGAUUCCCAGAAAGCGAGAGGAUUGCGAGUGUGCCCGCUGUCAUUUGUGUUGGAAGUUGACCGGACAGGCAGUUAUCAUUCAUCUCAAUCAUGCCCAAUCUCGGCAAGUUGAGGAUCCCAACAGGAAUAGUCCCGCUGAUUCUGUUUUUCUUCAUUCGGAUUUUGACAAGAGACUUGCAUCGGCCGAGCUCCAACGGAAUGGGCCCAAAGAAGUUGUUAUCCAUCAGAAUCAGCGUCCUCAGCCUCCCGCCUAAGCACAAAUUCCGAGGAAUCAACCCGGUUAGUUUGUUUCCGGAGACAUCCAAGUCCGUAAGCCUGCCGUUCUGGCCAAGACUUUCGGGUAGUUGGAAUGUAAAGUUGUUCCCCCACAGAUGAAGAAUCUCCAGAUGAGGAAGGUCACCGAUGAACUUGGGUAUGGGACCGUAAAGAUUGUUCCAAUACAGAUAGAUGGACCUAAUGCUCUUCAGCUCUGAGAACCGUUCGGGUAUUUCUCCGGUGAGUUCGUUUUCGGCGAGAUCCAAGGACACGAGGCUCGCCAUGCUCGAAAGUUCCGGUGGUAUAAAACCACCGAGCCGAUUUACUUGUAAACACAACGAGUGCAAAUUCUUCAAAAGGCUCAGACUCGUGGGAAUCUUGCCAGUGAGGUUACAGCUGGCCAUGUAGAGCACUUUCAGCAACGGCAGCGAUCCAAACUCCGGUGGAAUCCCGCCUUCGUAACUGUUAUCGUUCCCUAGGUACAAUUCCUUGAGGUUCUUUAACCGUGCCAAGCUUGCCGGGAGCUUCCCGGUGAGAAAAUUGCCGUUGAGGCCUAAAUACUCCAAGCUCCGGAUAUUAGAAUAACUUUCGGGAAUGUUUCCCGUGAAGUAGUUGCCUCCCAGAUGAAGAUGUUUGAGCUUUGUACAGCCGGCGGCGAGCUCCAGCGGCAGCUGUCCCGUGAAGUUGUUAUUGUAGGCGUCAAGGACCUCAAGCUCCGUCAUCCCGAGAGUGAUUUCUCCGGGGAACGUGCCGCUGAAGAAGUUGUUUGAGAUGUUCAAAUGCGUUAACGCCGUCAGGUUGGCCAUCUCCGUGGGAAGCCUCCCCGAGAGGUUGUUUUCGGCGAGGUUGAGGUUCACGAGCUUGUUUAGGAGCCCGAUCUCUGCUGGAAUCGAGCCUCGAUGCAUCACGGGCGGCAUAUUUGAGACGUUAAGAGCAACCACUCGUGAUCGCUGGUCGCAUGAAACUCCAGAAAAGGAGCAAUAGUGCUGGGCGGAGGGCUCCCACCCGGUAAUAUUCAUGGCCUUCUUGAGCUUCAGUAGCGCGUCGAGGUCGUCGGCGCACGGCGAUGAUGGGAACAAAAGGAAUAUGAUGAAGGAAAUGUAGGCGGAUAUUAGCUUCUUAAAUUUUUUAUUUUCCAUCGGUGAUCACUGAUCAGUGGCCACUAGCUAGUUCUUUCUUCUUGAUCGUACGUGAAUUCGUGAUUAGUUCAUAAUUUAUGUUAAUUACAUGAUUUUUUUUAUAUAAUAGAGUAGUACUACGUUGACUGGAAAUGUGGUAAGUGGGUGGGUAGGAGUAGGACAAAAAGGAUUAUUUUUAGAAUUUUCAGUGUUUCUGCGGUAAUUUUAAUUUUCACACUGAAGUCAAUGUGUAGUAGGUCUAAUUUAUUUCAUGGUGAGAGAGCUUUUGCUUGCGUCUCAUCCCAAUUGCACGCUUUCAUAAUUGUAGACCCAAGUUUUUCAUGAUAGAAUCCUUAUCAAAAUAUUUGAGGCUGCCAAUUUACAUGUUAGAAGAAAGAAGAAAUUGGAGCAUUGAUCAGUAUUGGCCGAUUUAUGUUCGAACUUUAAGGGCUGCUAAAAUAAAACAUUCAAGUUUGUUUAGAUAAACAGCGUACAAAGCGUGCAAUCAUUUGGCCAAUUUAGUGGAUUUUCAUCCUAUGUCCAAUCAUGUUGUAUACAUGUCAACGUAUGCCAUAGUUCAUGGAGUGUUGUCGGGAGCCCAUAUCAAGUAUUGUUGAGAUUCAUUGUUAAGUUUUACCGAAAUGAGCCGAACAUACAUUAUAUUAAACAUUGAUGAACACAAAAGAGUCUCACACCAGACAUUCAAAGAGUCCUUAACGGACUUUCAUAAGCGUGUUUCACAUGAAUCCAUGCAUAAAAAUCCAUCAAAAUUGGUAUGUGACUAUCCUUUGUCGCAAGGAUGCUUUUAGGAAGGAUCGGAUUGAAAACCAAGUUUCCAAUUUUCGCUCCCAAAUUUCGGAAUAAGGUCGGAUAGGAACAUAAUUUUUAAAUUUGGAAAUUUUGUAAUUGGAGUAAUCUCAUAAAUUUUGGAACGUAAUUCGGAUUCAUAUAUUUUAAAAGUUUUCGAGUGUUCUCGGCUUUUUUUAUUACAUGUAAUUUAUUUGGUGGCAUACUAGUAUGAUUAUCCAUUUUGAUAUAUAUAAGUAUGUUUAAUAUAAAAACAAUGAACAAACUAUAUCUAAAACUAACACUAAAAUACAAAAGUUGACAAUAAAAUACAUAAUUUGAGUACAUAACUAAGAAUUCAGAAUAUUUCGGAAGAUUUUUUUUUUCAUCAAUAUAAGUUUGGAACACUUAAGAAAAAUUCAGGUUAGAAAUUCGGAGUUACCGAAAUUGCUAAAUUCAUUCUGAUUUUCCGAAAAUAUUCGGAUUCAGAAAUUUUAUUAUCAGAAAUCGCAAACCCAUUACAAAUUGCACCCCUACUUUGUCGGAAGAAUGAGGCCUUUAUGAAAGCUUGUCUUAGUCUCCUUCCCGAGUCUGCAUCUUUUGCGUUCAAGUUAUUAUAACUGAAUACAGGAGAGCUCCGCUGACAUCCCCGCAAGCACAUGUUUUGAAUCUCAGCAGACGAACGGAGUCGAAAUUUGUGGUUUGAUGAUGCAUUUGUUUUUCAUUUAGAUACGUGAGAGAUGCCAAGAAAUCGAAGGAAAAAGAAAGAAGCUGAUUUAUUCACUAUAUUAGUAUGUACAACAAAUUUCAAUCAAAAGCCAACAGAAUUAAUUCGAUCCCAAGACAGAUCAAAACAAGCAAAGAUUGGCUGAUUGAUGGCAUUACGAAUAAAUAAAUAAAUAAAAGAGAAAAAAGAAACCUGAUCAUUCAACAUCAUCCACAAACUGUGAUUGAUCAUCAAAUCUGAUCAUGAUUUACUAUCUAGUACCUCCUGCAGAAGAUUCAGGCCUUCCGCCGAUAUACUCCUCUUGAAUUUUAACUUGGGAUCUCAAGCAACGGGGGUGGAUCUGGCGAGAAGCAUACCACUACCACCGUCAGGUUAUCGCACGUAUUGCGCUUGAGUGCCUCCCGAACCAGCUCUCUUGAGCAUCUCUCGGGAUCAUUGUGGAUCAUAAGUUCUUUCCUUGCCAUCGUGACUGCACACUGGCUGCUCAUCACAUCCCACAACCCAUCACAGCCUAGGAUUAAGAAUUCGUCUUCCUCGCUCAGAAUUGUCUCCUCGAGCUCUGGCUCUGCACUCAAGGGACACAAGGAACCUUUGGAGCCUUUCAUGUGCCAGUCCCCAAGAGCUCGUGCCACAGAUAAUUGACCGUUGAGGUAGCCAUCAUACACCAUGCCUCCCAGUUUCUCGAUUCUCACUCUUUCGGAGGCACAAUUGGGUUUAUGGUCUUUGGAAAGCUCAAUUGCCCUACCUCUUCUUCCCAGCACAGCUCGGCAAUCUCCAGCAUUUGCAAUUAGCAUCGCCCUGAAAAGGAGAAAUCAUAUGUAAAUCACAAUGAUGCCACUUGUAAAGACACAACAGGAAGAAAACUCUGGUCAAAUCCUACAAGCCUUCAAUACACUCUUCUUACAGAAUAACUUGCCAAGUUUACCUGGAUACAACUUAUAUGUUAUAGCCGGACAUCUAUUGCACAAUGGAAGCGUUUAAAAAGUGACCCACUUCCUCCAACUAAAACAUUUAUUACCAUGUUACAAGCCUCUAUAUUGAUUCCAGGAGUUGUACAGCCAUGAAAGUAUUCCUGGAUAAAAGCACCAUGGAUGACAACAGAAAGGAGUGUGGUUGGCAAAGAUGAAAUUUUGAUAGCUCAUAACAUAGAAGGAUCACAAUAGAAUUCAAAUGUUACAUUAACCAAAAUUGCUCAUUAGCAAUUGUUCAAAAAUUUGUUUCCAACAACCCAAAAAAACAAAAAAAAUCCUGUAUGCUACACGGAGUCCUUACGAAAACUAAUAUACAAUCAUUCAUAGACAGAACUGCAAGGGCAUGAUUGUGUUUACACCAAUACAAUUUGAAAUCACUUUAGCAACAAAAGAUAAGAAAAGACACGGUAGAAUAAUAGUAGGUCUCACCUUCCAGAGAUGAGGGCCGUAAGUGCAGUGGUACCAGAAGAACUGUCAAGACCACCGGUAGCAGCAAAAGCAAGGUCAGCAUUUAGAAAAGCGCUCUUCAUAGCCUUCUUAGUACAGAACGGGAAAUGUGGAUCCUCAACUAUAAACCUUAAAAUGUUCUCUCUGAUAAACGAAGAUGCAUCAGUACCACCAUGGCCGUCAAAAACCUGUGAUAGAAGGAAAGGUUGACACAUAAUGGUACAUCAGGUAGUUGUAGACUCAGAAAAAUCACAUGAAAGUAGCAUUAAAGUUUAUGAUCACAACUUUACAUAUUGUUCAUUGAUUAAAUUACACACCCCAUAGAAUGCUCCAGGAGAAGUGAAGUUCGCAGUUGCACCUAGAUGAUCAAGAAUAUUGUCUACACAAAUAUGCUCAUCCUCCAUAUAUGGUUUCGGUCCAAUCUCCGAGCAGCUUCCAGAGCGAAAAACAGGUACAAAAGCUGAGUUACUAUCUGAUGGGGAAUUUGAGCUAACAAUCCCAAUAUCCAACUCCUAAGCAAGGAGAGAAAAGGCAACAUCAAAUUUCUUGCCCAUUUAAUAUGAAAUGAAUGAUAAAAACUGCAAUUGUUAUAGCUGAUUGAAGUCAAUCUCACCACUUCAGCUGCAGGAGCCAACUGGGCAGAGCUCACGCAACACCUAAUAGCUGAGAGGUGACGAGGAGGUCUGCCAAUGUUCGGUUGCUUCAAGUUCUCAAAAGUACUUGAUUUCUCUUCUCUUGUAACAGUAACGUUCUCCUUCCUAUAACUGCCAUCCAACAUGGAAAGUGCCUGCGGGUAAUCAGUCCCUGCAGCCAUUUUCUCCCCAAAACAUAAUCCACCCCCGGAUAAAUAACUGGACCUCAAGUAUACCCUUUCAAACACUCCUUUUCGCAUAGAACAAGUUCGAACUUCAGGAGCUUCGUACUAUUCUCGAGCAAACAAAUUUUCAAUACCAGGAACAGACCCAGUAUAAUACCACGCAACAGCUUCAAUUAUUCGUCUUCCUUUUGCGUUGUUUCUUCAGAUUAUUUGUUGGGUACCUGAGCAGAAAAUUACCAGAAAAUUCUCAACUCACUUCUCAAUAACUUGUUGAGCUAAAAGUUAAAAGAUCAAACAGCCCAGGUAAUCAAUUGAACCACAAGCUACAAUCCUAAAUUGUACUGGAAACUGUAAACUCCCUAAAAAGCAAACAACUUUGAAAUUUCCAGGACUACCCACAAAUCCAUAUCUCAAUCCAAACCACCAAAUCAGCCACAACCAUAUCAAAUUUCAGGGAAUAAAACACACAAACCAAUAAAAAAAAUCAUGACUUUAUUCUAUUUUUGUUAAGCAUAAAGUCCACAGCUAUCAUUUUUACUAAACAAAUCAUAUAACUCAAUAGAUUCAGAACUACAAAAAUCAAAUCCAAAUACAGAAACCAUCACAGACCAAGCAAAAAACUUAGGCAGAAAAAAACCCAAAUUAACAAAACUAUUUACUCAAAAUCCCCAAUAACAAUCACACGCCAUAGAUUGCAACUUUUCAGCCAUAAAGAUUCAAACUUUACACAUAAAAAAGAUAAAAUCUGGAGAAAAUAGUAGGUGGGUGAUGAGAUUAUGAGAUGAAAAAUACUUGCCGUACUGUUUUGGUUAGCUUGACAAAACCUCCAAAGAUCCUGAAAGAGAAAUUGGAAAUUGAUGGGAACAAACAAGCCCACAAAACCCUCGAACCUUUCAACUCAAAAAUUGGAAAUGGUUUUUAUUUUUUUAUUUAAAAAGAUUUUUUGGUUUGAUAUGUUUGUACGAUUUGAUGUUGAAAGAGUCUGAUGAAUGAAGAAAACAAAGGGCAACCGGCUACGUGUGCUUUUCAACCGGUCAUUGCGGGUCGCCCGGUGGAUUCGUAGAUACGGCCAGCUGCGAAACCGACACGUUGCGGGGGUGGGGUUUUGAUAUUUCGGUUGGUAACCGGAUGUUGGGAAGCGAAGCGAGCGUGGUGGGAGUUCAACAAUUGCGGCUGGGGUGUUUUUUCAUCCGUUGGAUUAGAACAGUUGGUGAUUGACGGCGGGAUGAGGACUGACGAUUUUCACCAAACGUGGAAAAACUGGUAGUUGACGGCGCCGAUCUUUUUAUUCAUGUUUUCAAAGCGGUAAACUGGAAAAUAGGUUUUUGCAGAAAGUGGAGAUUCUAAUUCCUAAAUAUUCCACACCAAUGCCAUCCAGACGCAUCACAUUAUUUGUAAUUUCAUUUUUCAUGGAUGAGAUAACUUAAUUUCUCUAAUUAUAUUUUGGAUUUUUUUUAGCACAUCGAUAUUUUUUACAUUAAAGGAGAGAGGAGUUCAGCUAAGCCACACACAAUGAGUAACUUAAUUUGUUAUCGAAUUGUCAUCCACGAGACUAUAGUACUGACUUACGGCCUUUUAGGAUUUUGAUCAUAAUGUUUCCUUUCAACCACAAUAAAUACAAAAGUGUCAUUCACACAUUCAUUUUUUCUUCCCACACACUCUUAUUAAUUUUUUUUUACAAUGAUUUUCUUUAAUUCAUUCAAUCCGACGGUCAAAAAUUAAAAGAAAUAUAUGAGAAGCAAAAAUAAAUGUAUGAAUAGCAGUGCCCUGAGAUAUUAAAGAGAAAGGCCUUCCACAAUUUCAUUUUCACAUUAAUAAGCCCAAGAAAUUAAAGGGCACUUUCAUAACAUAUUGUGUGUUUGACAGGGGAGAUUUAGACCACUCACCAACACAAGAAAUUCUUGGAUAUCUUCGUUGACACAAGAUAAUUCAUCGACAAAAAAGUCUAUAUUUCUCAAUCCCCACAUGUUGAAAGUUUUAGGUGUGGCUAACCUAUGCGAUUUCAACCCGUUAUGAAUGAAAUCUCCACAUUUGAAAUUGUCUAAAUUAUAUAUAGGUAAUUCAUCCAUGCCACAAUAAAAUGUUACAUUUUUUAUUAAGGGCUUAUGAGCUAUAUAUGUCAUUUACUCAAACUUGACCAAUUCAAUUGUGUCCAUGAUAUAGUUAUGGCUCCAUACCUUUUGUCAAAUUCCUUUUAGUAAGUCAAACAUGGGUUUUGAUUCAUAUUUACAAUUUCCAUGGAUUUUCUUCUAUAUUAGAAAAAAACUUAUAUAUUUUCAAAACUGUGCACAUUUUUUUUGUAAGUAUAAUAUGUGGAAUAUUUUUGCAAGGCUUUAUAUGAUUGUAACUUUAACGUUUCAUCAGCACAUGCAAUUGCUAUGUAGAAAGAGUAGGCUUCUCAAUUGCAUACACAGCAGCAGCCGAUGCAGCUGGUGAGUCAAUCCAGCAGAGGCACCAUCCUCUCUACAUUCUACUAUGGCUACACCUGUUCCCAAUUAGUCCUGGGAGGAAUGGCGGCUCAGAAACUAGGAGGACAAUCCGCCCACCUCUCAUUUGUCACAUGGUCUCUAACAUAUGCCUUCGUCCAACUAGACCCUAAUCGUGCCACGACCAUGUUCCCCUCUUUCCACUCUGUCCACACGGUGGGUAGCACCUCACGAGCGGUCUAGGACUGUUUCUGUCACACUUCUGGGAUGUAUCUCAAUGCGGCUACAGCAAUGCUUGUGGUUCCAAGCCUUGUGAGACUGAAAAGCCCCCAUUUUGUGUUUGUGGUUGAAGCAACUGUGUGGACUAUUUGGUCUUCGGUCUGGUUGAACUAUACAUUUGAGUUUGGACCUUAAGCAAAGGUGGACGUUGUGGGGAGAGUGAAUCCUGUAUUUAGAUAGAGAUAUAUUUAUACAUAACUCAUUUUCUAAGGUGAAAUCGAAAGAAAAAAAAUAGGGAGAUUCACAAGAAAUGAUAAGGCCACACGUGAGAUUGUGAGAGUAGGGAAUCAAAGAAUUACCAUGCACUAAUUAGAAUCGAGUAGUAUAGGUUAAGUCAAUGGUAAUGGCAAAUGUUGACAUUAUAUAUAGGUUAGACCACGGAAAAUUAGCAAGUUGUAAACAUAUUAGGAGACCAGAAAGAGCAAGUCGUUUAAAGUGAAAAUUUAUUUGAAUUCAUUAUUUUGUUUCUUUAUAAAGCCCAAAAGUAAAUUUAUCUCAAAUAAAGUUAUCCUUUGAAUAAAAAGUUUUUAUCGUGACGUGAUCGGAUAAUCGGAUAUCUACGUUGAACAUCAAAUUAUUUGGGUGGUGAGGUUUUGUCAAAAGACUUGAUAAAAGAGAAAGACUACUUUUGAAGGCAGAGGAGACUUGGGAAUGGGUGCAUGGUGCGUGAGAGAGUUUGAGAGUAUCUUUAAUGGAGUUAGUAAAUUUAUCUUUUAUUUUUUUAUUUUUUUUAUUAACAGAAGCGAUGAAGUUUUUUAUUACAAUGAGUACAUAUUCUCCAAUGAUCAAUUUUUUUAUCAAGAGACAAUUCACACAAAUUACAAAUGAUUUUAAAUCUCUAUACGGGCACCGCAAAGACCACUAGAACAAGUAGCAAUGCCCUUGUAAAUAUAAAAGGUUGGUCGUUACUUUUUCAAUUCAGUAAUUGGGUUGCUACUUUAGAGACUAUUUUUUCCUCUGUUGCAUGGCAAAUUUAAUUUGUUACUCAUUUGCUACUUCUAUAUGAUAUACUCUUCGAGAUGACUCAUGAUUCCUACACUAUGUUCUUUCCGAUGUAGCCAAUAAAUUGGAUUAUUUAAUACAAUAAAGAUUAAAAUGAAAGAAGUGACAUUUAAUGAUAAAAAAAGAAGAAGAAAUCAUUGAAAAAUUGGUGACUCAUAAGUUAAGGGAUUGUUUACUUUUGUCAUCUCCUAAAAGUGGAUGUUAUCGUUUUUUCAAGUUGUUCAACUUAAUGUAGCUUUGAUUUGGUGUGCUAGUUUUUGCUUAUAGAGUAUGAAUUCAAGAGAAUGACAAGAUCUACAAGCUUCAUGCAAAUCAACAAGCUGGAUUAGAAUUCGACAAACUAAUGUUUAAUUAAUGAAAACGAGAUUUAAGUUUUCAGGACUAUAAUUUUCAUUGUUAUAUUAUUUGUUUGAUUUUUUUUUAUAUUUGAACUCUAAGAAUUAUAAGUACCACCUUUAUUACAGUGCUAGGUUUGUAAUCUUUCAUACUUUCAAUCAAUAUUGUAAGUACCACCUUUAGAGUGCUAGGUUUGUAAUCCUUCAUACUUUCAAUUAAUAAAUUUUAAACUUUUCUCUAUUUUUUUGUAUAUUUUUUACUACUAAGGGAUUUCGGUGCAUGUAUUCGGGUUUUAUGUUUGUUGAUCUUUUUUUGUUGUAUAUUCUGUUGGGUCACUUUUAAAUACUAGUAUGCAAAAAAUGUUAUAAUAAGAGCCAAUAGCGUUUUAGAAAGGUUAACACUACAAUACAUAAUGCUAUAAAAACAAUUGAGGUAUUUGUCGAUUUGCUCCUUUAAACUUAUAACUCACUGCCAAUUUCCCCUGUAAAAUGUUUAUUUAUACCACUGUCGCUAAAUUUUGAAAUUUUCCAUCCAAAUUUAUAACAUGGCAAACACAUGAGCCAUUAAUAAGGGAUUAAAAAGGGUGAUAUCAACGCUCAUCUCCUAAUCCAGCUUUCCCAACUUCAUUCCUCCAUUCACCAUCCACUUCUUACCUAAUUCCCCCAAUAUUAAGCUCCCAAAUUGUUCUUAUAUGAGCGAAGUUGUGGUUUCAAUGUAAAUUUGGUAAACGGCAUUGAAGGGACAGGGAGGAACUCAUCCAAUCAAAUUAAAAAUAAGAUGAACAAAAUUGAAAUAAUUGAUUAGCAGUCCGAGACAUGGAUGACUUCCUUCACGAGGAUGCGAGCAAAGAAAGCUUAUUCCUAAGGUCAUGGAAGUAAACUUAGCUAUGAACAUUGCAAACCCAAAACUUACUCCAGUUGCCUUGCCCAUAACCUCAUCGUACCCGUAAGCAAAAUUGCAAACCCAAAACCACAAUUAUAUCAGUACACUCAAAGCAACACAAGUUACUCGGAAAGGCAGAUUGAGAUGGAGCAGACAGAGACUCUUGGACGCACCAGUGCGUGCAAUUCGACCCAGGUAGACCAUUUCCCUUAAAAUCACCUCUGAUGUUUCGAUAUUGGCUCCAAGCUAUCAUUUUAGUAAGGCAAACUCAAAAUUUUACCUUAAGUAAUGCUACAUACGAGUAAUGUUACAUUUUUUUUCCCGUUGUUUAUAGGAUAUUUUAUAGCACAUGAUGUGACAUGUAAUGGACAAUUAACAUCCAGUUAGAUAAAUGCGACAUUAUAACAUUCAAUGAAAUAAAUGUCAACAUUAAAUGAGAUAAAAUCCUAAAUUAAUGUGACGGUUACAAUCACUUGCCACUUCAUGUGGUAUAGAAACCGAACUCAUGUUAGCCGCCAAGCGAGCCAAUACCAUUGCUCAUCACUUAAAUUGCUUAGCUCUCCAUGGAUUUUCGUUGUCGAUUUGAGGAUCCAACCGACCUCGUUUCGGAAAUGUCAUCUGAUGAUUGUUGUGAUUAUUAACCAAUUGACACUUAUCAGUUAUCUAUUCGUUAUAGUCACCAUCACUCAAUUAGUUAAUACUGUUAAAGAGUUAGUUACAAAGGGUAUUAUUGUAAUAAUCCAUGUAUUUUGGAUACUAUAUAACACAUUGUAAAGGCUUGUAAUAAUUCAUAGUGUGAAAUACAAAGUCUUCUGAAAUUCCUUCAUUCCUAAGCUUCUAUCCUCCUCCUUCCAUUUCUUCUCAAUUUCUCAGUAUUAUGAUGGUAUCAUCGCUGGAAAGGCUCGUCGCCGCUCUGAUCCUUGGUGACUUUUCCGCUGCUUUGUAAGAUUGUAGCCGUUCUGAUUUCUGGUGGUGCUUUGUUGCUGCUCUGUAACUCUGUGUGCGAUUUUGAAGACUCUGGAAGAUUGUUAAAGCAGUUCACGUUCUCUGAUUGUUGAAAUCAAUUCAGGUGACAUCUUUCUUUCGAUUUUGGAAGAUAUUUCGAUCAUGGAUUAUUGUGUUCUUGAGAUUCUUGAAGAAAUUGUAUGGAGUAAGAUAUGAGAAUUUUGUUGUUCUUUGAUUGUGUAGCGUAAUGUUCAUAAAUUGCUGGUGAAGAAAUAAUAGUGAAAUUGGAAUAUUCAAGAAAGUGUUAUUCUUUCUUGGUGAUUUUGGAAAGUGUCAAUCUUCCUUGGCGAUUUAGGAAAGUGUCAAUCUUUCUUGGUAAAGAGUUUCAAUCUUUUCGAGUUUUUGCAGUUUUUUUCCAAUUGAAAAGAGUGUUAAUCUCUUCCUGUUCAUUACAUAUUGAUAUUUUUGUAUUUGUGAUCUGAUUCAAGAUGACUACUCCGACUGUUAAAGUAGAAAAUUUGUUAGGGAUGCUUACUAAAAUUGAAAGAUGAUAAUUUCGCCAAAUGGGCAUUUCAAUUUAAGGCUGUGUUGAAGGGUUACAAACUGUUUCAAUGGCACUGAUGUGUGUCCAUCAAAGUUUAUCAUAACUACUGAUCUUGGAGUUACUGAGGAAGUUACUAAAGCUUAUAUUGAUUGGGAGUCAACUGAUAUGGCUUUAUUAAGUCUUUUUCUUGCAACUCUAUCUGAUGAAGCGAUGGAAUAUGUUCUUGGAUGCAAGAAUGCUCAUGAGGCUUGGGUGAAUCUUGUAGAUAGGUUUGCUUCUGUCUCAAAAUCAAGAGUGAAUCACCUAAAGACUAAGCUGCAUACUAUACAAAAGGGAACUGAUUCGAUUGAUAAGUAUUUUAUAUGAUUGAAAAAUAUUAGAGAGCAAUUAAGUGUUGCAGGAGAGUAUAUCUCAGACAAUGAUGUUAUAAUUACUGGUUUAGUUGGGCUACCAAAAGAAUAUGCGAUAAUAAGAACUGUCAUUCUUGCUAGGGAGUCAUCAAUUACUCUUAAAGAGUUUAGAGCACAACUUCUUGGUGCUGAAAAGGAAAUUGAAGGAGAAAUCAGUAUGUUGUCUCAGAGUUUGUCAGCCUUGCAUGUGAAAGGGACUGGUACUAAUCCUAGAUCUUCAAUGGUCACUGGUUAUUCUUCUAAUCUGCAGAAUCAUAGUCACAUCUCUGCUACUACUGGUGGUGUUUUGUCACAAGUUCCUUAUGAUGGUAUCUCCACCACAAUUUCAACCUGAUAUGCAGUCAUCUCAAUUAUAUUCCACACCACAACCACCAGCUACCUUUUAUCAUCUUGCACCAUAUGGUUUUGGUUUCUUUGGAAAUUCUGGUUCUCAUUCAGAUACAAGAAAUCAAAAUUCAAAUUCUAGCUUCAGAUCAUUCAAUGGCUCUACCUUUAAAGGUCAAAACAAUUACAGGUCCAGUAAUGGAUACAAGGGGAGGAAUUUCAAUUCUUGAAGGUACAAGCAGAACUUAAAUAACAAUGGUUGGUCUGGAAACACAGAUACAAGGAUGAACAUAGUUAUUGAAUGCCAAAUCUGCAACAAACAAAGUCAUAUAGCAGCAAACUAUUUUCACAGGAACACCAACAAUUCUUCUAAUGGUUUUGUGAUCGAGUGCCAAAUUUAUGGGAAUAGGGGUCAUGCUACUCUUGAUUGUUAUAAGAGAAGCAACUACACAUAUCAAAGUCAACCUCCUCCAUCUUCAAUAAAUGCCAUGAAUGCAUAACAAUCAUCACAGUUCUUGCCCACUGAUUCAUGGAUAGUGGACUCUGGUGCUUCUCACCACAUGACAGCUGAUGUUAAUGGCUUGGCACAUGUUGCUUCAUAUGAAGGUAAUGAGAAGAUUACUAUUGGUAAUGGCUCAAGUAUAUCAAUAAAAAACAUUGGUUCCACUACUCUUCAUACAAAAGACCAUUCAUUACUACUUUCUCGUGUUUUACAUGUUCCAAAGAUUGCUAGAAGUUUGUUGUCUGUUAAACAAAUGUGUGCUGAUAACAACAAUUGGUUUAUAUAUGAUGAGUCAAACUUCUUUUUACAGGACAAGAAGACAAAUAAGGUUCUGUAUCAAGGAAAGAGUAGGCCCACAGAGUUGUUUCAGAUCCCAGGUUUUCACAGUGCUAAAGGUGUGCAGUCUACAGUUCUUACUACAAAAGCUUUACUUGGUCAAUUGGUGAAGUCAAAUGUGUGGCAUCAAAGGUUGGGUCACCUUACAAAUGAAGUACUAUCUUGUAUGCUAAAACAAUGUAGUACACCAUGUAAUACAGAUAAUAAGCACAAUGUUUGUACAUCAUGUAUUCAGGGCAAAAUGUCUAGAUUGCCAUUUCCAAAUAGAACUGAAAAAUGCUUGUCUCCAUUUGAUAAAUUCAUACUGAUGUCUGGGGAUCUUCUCCUAUAAAGUCUAUAGAUGGCUAUAGGUAUUAUGUACUGUUUGUUGAUGAAUAUACAAGAUACACUUGGGUAUUUCUAAUGUGCAAUACAUCUUAUGUCUUCUCUAUUUUUGUAAAGUUUUACUAGUUUGUGUUAAACCAGUUUGGAGUAUUUGUCAAGUGUUUACAAAUUGAUGGGGGAUGAGAGUACAUUAGUAAGUCUUUUACAAAGUUCUUAAGUGAUAACGAAAUUGCUCAGAUGCUGUCAUGUCCAUAUACCCCUCAGCAAAAUGGAAUUGCUGAGAGGAAACACAAGCAUAUAAUUGAAACUUGAAUUGCAUUACUCACUAAUGCUGGUUUACCAUUGGAAUUUUGGUAUUUUGCUUGUGCACUGAUGUGUUUUCCUGGCUUAGGCCUUACAAUUCUAAUAAGCUUCAAACAAGAUCAGUGUGCUUGAAGAAUUCUCGAUUCACUUAGCCCACACCCCUACCCCUUAGUAUAUAUAGUGUAGAUAAUAUUGUUUGUUCGAAAAAGACUACUUGAAUUAUCUCGCCAUAAAUGUGGUAUUAACACCCUCAUGUACAAUUAAUAUGAUAUGAAAUAUAGCUAUUUAGUACUAUAUAUUUCUCUUCACUUGUAAGUAAAUGGUCUUAGGUUAAAAUUUCGUAAAUGACAAGUUAGUGAUCAAGUUAUUCCCCUCCCCCACCCUGCUUUUUAGUGUAAAUAUAUUGUUUUAUAAUAAUUGUAUGUUCAUCAUCCUUCUUGUCGUCGGUUGUUAGUUGUAGAUAUAAUUAGAGUGUCAUUGCCGUGUGAUAUUCUUUUGUAAUCUUUCCUUUUUCUUUCGGGUUUAUGCACUGUUGUCAAACAAAAGAAAAAUUAAAUGCAUGCGAGGGUUUCUUUGGUGUGAGCACACAAAUUUAAUGUCUAAUGAAAUAAUAACACUUCAUACUAAGAGGGAGCAUAAGACGAAUUUGCUGUUAAGUCGUAUGACGUCAAAAGUAGCACUAGGGCACUAGGAAAUUUUCUAAGACUUUUUUUUUAACACCCUUUUUAAUUGAAAUCUUUUCUUUAGAAUAAAAGUGAACCAAAUAAAACCAAGAUAACCGAAAGUGAGAAGCCAAUAUCACCAUUAAGAAAGGAAAAAAAAACAAAAGAAAAUUAAUGAAAAAAGCUUGAAAACUUUGAGUUUUAACGAUAAGGACAAAAUAAAGGGUAAAGUGAAUAAUACCAUGAUUGACUUUUUAAUGUAAAAAUGUUGUUUUUCGUUAAAGUGAACAAUACUAUGAACUUUUCGUUAAAAUUCUCAAAAAACAAAUGUGCAUAAUACAACAAGAACAUUGAGUGGACGUAUAGUCUAAUUGAAUUCGAGUAGACUUGGAAAAGAAACUGAUCAACUGCCAAUAAAUAUGGGAUUAAGUUGGGUCUUGUAAAAAUCUUGACAAACUUAAAAAGUAAGAACGUGUUUAAAAUAUGGAAAUUUUAACGAAAAGCUCAUGGUAUUGUUUACUUUAAUGAAAAACCACAUUUUUACACUAAAAAGUCAAUCCCAGUACUAUUCACUUUACCCUUUAUUUUGUUCUUAUCAUUAAAACUUAAAGUUUUCAAGUCAUUUUCAUUAGUUUUCCUUUAAAAUAAACUAUGAAAUAAGAGAGAAUAAGAAAGAACAUAGAGAUUGGGAGGAGAAAUGUGAUAGUCUACUUUUAUUAUCAUUCGACCCCUUUAUAUAGGGUAAGGGUAACUUGGAAGAGAAGCUCAAAUGUCUCUACUUUACAUCAACGAUUAUAUAAGAGAUUAACCACACAAUUGGUUACGAAUAUGGACAACCACAUAGACAAGUAUUUGCUACAAAACCCUUUAAUUUAAUAUUCUCAUAAGUUUUAUUAAUGUCAAUCAUGAAAUUAGAUAGUUUAUGCAUUUUGAGUCACAUGCAUCUACAGUUCAUAAAUUGCCUAAAGUUGCUUACAAAGCUUGGAUUUAAAAAAAAUAAAAAAAAGGUUUCGGAAUUCUAGUAAUUUCCUACUGUAGUGCAGCCAUUAGGGAAGCAAACUUUACAGACAUCAACUUAGUUCUAAAUGUAUCUAGUUUUAGAUUGGUGCCGACUUGUGCAAAGCAGACGUUUCAAUUUCACUCUUUCUAUAUGUUAACUUGGGUCCUUUGUUGCCCUAUCAAUAUAAUGUAUAGCCAUGAUCCCUGCGCCUCUUUGAGGAAGUCCACGAACACCCACAUGAACAAAGGGCCAAGCUACCAAGCCCACAAAAUCAGCCUACGAGUUUUCAGCACCGAACGCUGCAUCAGAAAUGGUCGUAACCGGAGCGCCCAAGUCAUUGAAUUGUCAAAACCUUACCACUGAUCAAAAGAAGAGAGCACUCGGCUCAAGUACUUUCCGUCUGCUUCAACCAAGUGUCAGGCCUCACACCUUUCCAACACAAAUUCAAAGAGGCAAGUCUAGUCCAAACAUAAACUCCGUGCCAUGUGUGGAUCAUCAACAUAGAAGAUAGCCCACAGUAAGUAGGCCGGUAAACACGUCGGGUUUAUUGGGUUUGAGUCGAGUUCAAUUUGACCAGUUAAAUUAACAGGUUAUCUGAACCUGACCCGUUAAGCUAACCAAUCACCUGUUUCACUCGUUAACAAUUAUUAUUAUUAUUUUUUGCAUAGAGUUUAUUUUAUGUUGUUAAGAUUUUACUGAAAUUAUUAAAACAUCCUCAACUAAUGGGUGCUAACGGAUUGACCCAAAGUGAUCCGUUAUUUAACGAGUUCACCCGUUAGCGACCCGACCCGACCCGACCCGUUAAGCAUCAAUCCAAAUACUAAUAUUAACAUGUUAGAUUGGGUUAACGGGUCGGGUCCAAAAUGUCAGGUACAACGGUAAAUCACAGGGAACAAUUAUAGGGAGUAUUCGAUAUGACUACUUCACGACCGCCUUCAAAUGAGAACCUCUCCUAAACAACUUUUCAACGUGGAAACCCGAAGAGUAGACAUGCUUGGAUGUUAACUCCGCUCCACAUGUUAGCCGCUCACAAGAGGGAUAGCUUGCGGUCCGACAAUUAAAAGCCCAAGACUUUUUUCUUUUUUUGGCCGAAGGAGAAUUAUAUACCAAACAAACACAACUACAACAAAGGCCCAACACAAAACAAAGAUAUAACCAAAAACAGGCCUAAAACAAAACCAAAACAGAAAAAAGGCCCAGCAAGGCCCAGAAACCAACAGCUUCCGCCAGAAGCUUCCACAGCCAUCGUCCCCCUCGGAAACAGGUCAUUCAGCUGAUGCCCAGCCGCCAUCCAGUAGCGUAUCCACAGAUGCCACCUCCAACCCACCAGAGCACAGCCACAUAGUUUUUGUAGGAAUAAUCGGCAACCAAGUGAGCGGAGCCGAUUAACGGAAGGAAGUUCGUGAAAGCCCACGAACAACACUGUCGAAACCGAGGAACAACUCGGAACAGUCAGACGAAGCGGAGAAAGUGGUGGUGGUGGAACCACCCGAGCCGGUGAAGACACCAGAACUCUACACACAAUCUCCUAAAUAAACUUGGCUGGCGAGCAGAUCCAGGGUGAACAGAGAAGAGGGUUACCAGCAGGAGUAAAGAACCGGAGAAUGCCAGAGAGAAAAUUGGGGAGAGAUAGCAGUAGAGGCAGGGAGAGGAGAAGGAGAAGAGAAAAGAAAAAGCACGGCAACCAACCCCGACCGAAGCCAGGGCUGGUGCCACCGGAAAAGUCCAAAAUCAAAAGACUCACAAACAGUGAGAAAACACUCUCAGGUCAGAGAGAAAGAACUCCCACCGAGGAGAGAAAGAAAGUUCUAGCCCA
rnacentral:lncRNA from 1 species